UUGGACAAAGGAGAGAACAUGUAGCACAAAAGCAAAGUAGAACACAUCAAUUUAUGUAUAGAGAACAUUAAUCAGUACUUUCUACUUCUUGGAUCAAGGAAGAGGUGCCAAGGACGAUGUAGCACAACCAAGAGCCUUUGUCACGCCAGUAAUUGCGGGCUUGACAUUAGAACACACAGAGGUAAGAGGGCCUUUGUCUCCACCGUAGGUGAGAUCAAUGUCAGUCAACUCCACAUUCUCACACGGUUUGCCCGUGGUACAUACAAGCUUGACUGCAAGUGGAGUGAAAGAUGAGCCCUUAAUGUUCUUGAAGCUGACAUUGUUGAUCUUAACUUUUGACGGAGGCUUUUGUUCACACUUAGUAUAUGGGCAGUACAAUUGGUCUAUGAGGAUAGGGUUACUGACAUUAACCAUGAUAAUAUCCUCAUAGUGUAUACCCGAGGCAGAGCUAGGCGAAGGAGAAUCUGGAAAUGUUUUGAUUCUCACACCGUUCUCCGUAUUAGUCAGGGUGCAGUUCUUAACUAUGAUCCCGGUCACAUCCUUUUCUUCCUUAUAUUUUCCAAGGCUUCCAAUGCUUAUUCCAUGGCCUGGCCCACAAGUAACACCAGUCACUGUGAUUUCGUGGGAGUCAUCACCAAUAGAAAUACAGUCAUCCCCAGUUCCAAUCUUUGAAUGAGUAAUGUUGAUACCAGUCGAAGCCCCGAUAUGGAUUCCAUCUGUGUUUCUGCUCUCGUCGGGUGCUGUGAUGGUAAGCUGUUGAAAUGUAGUAUGGUUGCACCGGAAAACAUGGAUGUGGAAAAAUUUGCUGUUAAGUGAAGUUAUGUCCUGAACUUUGGAAUUUGUGAGGAAUUCAAACCGCAGAUUAACGGGAGGAGGUUUGCAAUUUUUGUUUUUGUGGCAGUCAUUUUGAUUCCAAGAAAGUGCUCCUUGGCCAUCAAAAGUCCCACCACCUGAUAAGGUGAGCAUGUCAAUGUACUGAAAACCAACCCAAGUAUCCGGUCUUGUGAGUUGGCCAGCGUCUGCUGGAGCCUGCAAUGUGCCUUGAACUUGCAUCUCAAUAGGAGCCUUACAGGGGCCUCUGAAAGUUGCUUCUUUUAACUUGUAUGUCCCGCUCGGAACGACAACUUUACUCGCGGAUGGCGAUGCACAUGCAUCACUCCAAGCCUUGGCCAAGGCCGUACUGACAUCAGAGCCAGGCUUUGCACCGUAUGUUGCACUUGUCACGUCAUACUAGUGAGCCAGGUAAACGCAUUCUUUUAAUUUUUCUUAUAAUCCAUAGGUUUUGCUUGCUAUCUACCGGUGACAUUGAUCUCACCUACAAUGGAAACAAAGGCCCUCUUACCUCUCAUGUUAUGUCAAGCCCACCAUUAUUUGUGUGACAAAAGCCCUUGCCUGUGCUACCUAUGCUGGGUUAAAGAAAUGGAAAGUACUAAAGAUAAAUUGUUGUGUUCUUUGGUUUUUUUGAUUUUGUGGUGCUUGUACAGGUCUUUUUUCUUCGCUCAGAUACCUUCACAUGUUUUGAGCUAUAAAAUUCUAAUAUAUUUAAUAUUUGCAAAUAAAUUGCUAGUGUUAAAACAUACAUUCACUAAUUCAUCAUUGUCUAGAUAAUGCUUCAGUUUCUACUCUAUAUACUUUUCUUGGCCUACAACCAGUUCGAUGCUUGGCCAAUUGAAGCUGGGAUUAGUAUGCCAGCUUGAUUUUGAUCCUUCCACUAUAUUAAUUGAAGAUUAUCAGACAAACUGAAUGUGUGUGUGUAUAUAUAUGUAUAUAUAUACAUUUAUUCUCUCAUCCGGACGGUCUGGACGUUAUUAUCGUGCGGGCGCCAUUGUAAGCAAGGAGUACACUUUUAAAACAAAUUAAUAUUUAAAGAGUGGCUAUACUUGUUAUUUAUGCGAAUAUUCUAUACUAUUUAAAUAUUUGAAUGGAUGUCAAGCAUAUAGCCGACCAGCUAUACUGCAUAAAAGUGUGUUCUUUUUUGUUAUCAAGUAAUAUCUUACCAUUUCAAAAUUAAUUUAAUUUUUAUGUAUUUAGUGAAUAAUUAUUAUUGAAAUAUUUUACUAAUUUCAAUAUUUACUUCAUAAAUUGUAAUUAAUUAUUUUAAAUUAUUUUGUGGACUUUAAUUUUCUACAAAAUUAGUUUAUUUUGUUUAAUAUGUUCAAAUAUUUUAAUAGUAUAGCCGUGCGACUGUACUAUUAAAAUAUAUUAAUAUUUAAAGCGUAUAGCCAUGCGGCUAUACCUGUUAAAUAUAUUUUAGUUUUAAGAGUAUAGCCGCACGACGAUACUUUUAAAAUAUUUAGACAUAUUGAAUAUUCGAAUAGAUUAAACUAAAUAAACUACUUUUGUACAAAAUAAAAUAAAAAAACAAAGUCCACAAAAUAAUUUAAAAUAAUUAAUUACAAUUUAUUAAGUAAUUUUUGAAAUUACUAAAAAAUUUAAAUACUAAUUGUUCACUAAAUUUAUAAUAAUUAAAGCAAUUAAAAAAGGCUAAGAUAUAACUUUUUAUCUUUCAAUGGAUCCAUCUGCUUUGAGUUUCACAGUAUAGAUCAACCCGCAUCCCACAGUAUUCUUUCCAUAAGGUAAAGGCACGAGCUCUCAUGUGGCAAUCAUCUGGAGAGCUCGCAUGUAACACCUCGUUCCAAAAAUACUGUUCAAUUGAUUAUUUAAUUGUGGAUUUACAAUUUUGCCCUUGGGGGUAGGGUUACUUUAGUCACUUUUCAAUCUGAACGGUUUUUGAGGAUUUUAGUAACACCAUUUUGUAGAGCUCGCUCUCAUGAAUUCGUAGACACGUAGUGGGCUCAAAUCGGAGUUAUAACGAAGAAGUUGUGGCCAAUGGAAGUGGAGUGGCAAAAACGUAAAAUUUUCAAAGUUGGGUUUUAAAAUACCCAAUCAGCCUCUCUCUCUCUCUCUCUCUCUCUCUCUCUCUCUACGCACACGACUUUCUCUCUUUACAAGAGCGGCAGCAAAUUUUCGACCGUGAUUUUGUCGUCGUCCAGUGUCCGAUUCAAGCAAAAUUGGUUACAAAAGUUUCGUAACGAUGUCCUCUAUCUUACCCACAUUUUCCCAGCUCAAAAACCCAAGGAAAUUAAACUAAACUACUGGAAGUUCGAGUAUUUUUGAAGUUUCCGAGGCUGUUUUCAGCGAUCUCGAUGGCGGUUUUCGUCUAUCCAGGUAUGAAUCUUCAUCCCAUCCACGUGCUCUAGUUGUUUAUGUUGGUAUCUUGAAUAAAUUUUGAGGUUUUACAUGUCGUUUAAAAUACCCAUUUUAGCCAACGGUUUCGGCUUCAAUUCGGCUAGUUCCGACUAGUUUUUGGCCGUGGUCCAAGAACAAAACUUGAUCCCCUAGUAAGUCCGAAUCUGUUGGCAUAGGUAUUCACUGGUGGUUUGGAGAUUUUUCGUCGCUGAAAAAUCUUUUAAGACACCCACGCGCUGCCGGCGGUGGGUGGCGGCCCAUGGAGUUCUAAAUUGUUACCCUUGUUGUCCUGAGCACGACGGUAUGCUUGGAUUUCGAUUUGAUUAUCGUUUGACUGUCGAAUGGAUAUUGCACCUGUUAUGCGAUAUUCGGGUUCAAUAGGUUUGGACCGUUCAAUCGGUCCCAUUUUCUAAUGCGUUGUUCCUCGUACUUCUAAGAUUUGUGUUGGAACUGGUGGAUCGAGAAUGGGCGUCCCAGAUACUCCUAAUCAAUGAUUCUAGAGCUAAGUAAACCGGUUACCGUCCGAUCGUGUUAUCAAGACCAAAGUCUGAAAACUUGUUAAGUAGACCUUGUUGGACUUAUAGUAAAGUUUGGAUCGAAAAUAGGAUGUUGUGGACCCCUAGAGCCCAAUUGGUCAAAUUCAGCGAUCAGGGUCGAACCGACCGUUAGAUCGUGACGGGACUUCUUGAAUGGGCUGAACUUUUGGUUAUGGACCAAUAGGAAUUGUCAUAUAGCAAUUGGGGUGGUGGGCCCUUCGAGCCCAAUUGACUUAGAUUGUGGGCUUUGUUGGCUCGGUCGAGGCCUUUUAGUAGUUGUAAUUGUAAUUGGAGUUUGUUUUAAAAUGGUAUUGUGUUUUGACCGUUUCAUUAAAUUUUUAUGAAUUAUUAUGUUAUCGCUUUUACUUUCCAUGAAUAAGGAAUGUCUUGGAUAACCGGAUUUUUGCAUGAAUAAGGAAUUAAUUAAAUGCCUGAUUGUAUGUCUAUAUUUAAAUAUAUGCUCGGUGGCUUGAAAUCGAUGAAUGAUGGAUACUAGUUUUCUCAAUAGUAUGUUGUACGUAUUUGAAUGUAGUUUGAGAACAGUUUUGAAAGAUUAUGCAUGGUCAAGUUCAAGUUAAGGAAUGUUGGGAUUGAUCACAUUUUAAAAAAGGAUUUUUGGUUAUCUAUUUAAAAAUUGAUUUUUGGAAAUUUGAGAAAGAAUUUGGAAACUGGAUUAGUGGAAAAAGAGGAAUUUUAUGAUAAGUUUCGGAAAAUGGUUUUCAAAACCCACCACCAGAGUACCGCCCCCCAAGUUGCCUUCGGAACAGUCUAGUCAUUUAUGACAAUGCCCACGAGUCUCGGGGACCCCUGAACCAUGUGGUGUGAGGAUUUGCGUUCUCGGGUUGAUUAUAUCUUCCUGAGUCGUGCGAGGGGAUUUGACGGAUAUGGGUUUCGGGCUGAUCACCCGAUUCUGCAAGGAUAUGUGUUAUCGGGCAGACAACGUAUUCCCAGAGUUACAUGGGAAAGUAGUGGGGAAAGUGAAGCCCUCCUCCCCCCUUGGGUUUUUUUUUCCCUCAUCACUGGAAAGUUUGGGAAAAUGAACCAACAUUAAAUGCACAUUUUUCAUGAUCAUUUUGUCCCCCAUAAAAAUUUAGAAUUAGAAUAUAUCAUUAAAUGCGUUCUUUUUUUAUUUGAGUUAAUAUGGGUAUAAUUGGAAAAUUAUACAAAUUUUGUUUUCCAUUCCUACUCAAAACGAACAUGGAAAAAGAAAUAAAGUGAUAUCUCCUGGUUACUUUCAUUUCGCAUCUCUUGGGAAAUGACAUGGGAAGUGAUUUCCCCCCAAAUCCAUUCUGUGAACCAAAUGGGGCCUUAAGGUAAGAGCUUUUCCCCCAUAACAAGAGUUUUCUUUAAGGUUUUCCAUCCCUGGUUUGUCUGGGGUUUUCUUUAUUUUCUUACCAAACUGGUGAUAUACCGGGGUUUUCCUUCUAUAUCCAAGUAGUUGGAAUGGAAGAGGUGAUAAAUUCAUUGGAGAAAGUGCUCAUCCUAACUGAAGACGAGAAUGAUUCGAUUCAGUAGGACAAAAUGAUGUCGAUGACGUGGGGGAGCGACUCAAGACGAGCCUGGUUGGAAAUGUCUUUACAACUAAUGUUUUCAACCGGGAGACAUUCAAGCAAACGAUGUUGAUGAUUUAGAACACAGCUCGUGAGGUGGGGGUGAAAGAUUUAGGUGAAAAUAUCUUUUUGUUCAUCUUUGUGACGGAAGGGGAUUGACUGAAGGUGUUGUGCAGUGGGCCUUGGAAUUUUGAAAAGCUCUAAUAUAACUUGAGAUUCCUGGUGGUAGUAUUGCUCCAUAAAAAAUGCAUCUAAAGUAUGCAGAAUUCUGAAUUGAAGUCCAUAACGUACCACUGAGUUGUGAGACGACAAAUAUGGGGAGGCAAAUUGGGAAUAUCUUGGACAGUGUUUGGAUGUAACAUAGGGUAUGGAUGGGGAGUGUUUGGGUAGAUUUAUGUGGAUGCGUGUUUGUUUGGAUGUCUCCAAGUCGUUACGGUGAGGAAAAAGGUGAUUCUACCUUCUGGAAACAUAGAGUUAGUAGAUUUCCGAUACGAACAAUUGCCAGAAUUUUGUUUUGUGUGCGACAGAGUGGGUCAUGUGUUCAAGGUGUGUUCUUUUGUCGACCAGGCAGCCAAGCAAGCCAACAAAAAGCCUAAUGGGACAUGGUUACAGGCCACCAAUGAUUCUAUCACUACAAGGGCAAGUAGUCCUAAGCGAUCCAACUGUGGUGGUAUGAGUAGACAUGUAUACGAAUAUCUGUGUAUGUGUGUGCACUGGGACCUAGGAAUUUUUUAGCGAAGAUGCAAUUUUGAAAGGCUAAAAACUCUUUGUGGAUUGAACAUCUAAGGUUUUUUUUUACCUAAAUUGACCUUAGGUCCCUUCAUGCAGUCAUAUAAUACAUUAAAAAUUAUCCAAGUCGUUACGGUGAGGAAAAAGGUGAUUCUACCUUCUGGAAAAAUCAUUUUCACAAGAUAAUUACGAACAAUUGCCAGAAUUUUGUUUUGUGUGCGACAGAGUCGGUCAUGUGUUCAAGGUAUGAAGUAUAUAUUGACUUAAUGAGCCAUCAUUUUUAUCCUAAAUCGUAUUUUGCACUAAAACAGAUUUUUUCAUAUUUUGAGUUGGUGGGAAUUUGAUUUUCUAGUAUUUUUAUUUGAAUGCAAAUGGGGAGUACUUCCUUAUUUACAUUGUAAACUUAAGUAAAUGGAGUAAUAUAAAAAUCAAUGAAAGUAAAAGAACAAAGACAUUUACUUAAAUGUUGAAAAUGGAAAUAAGGUAAUCUGUACAUCAGCUGAGCAAAGGGGCAAUUUGAAGCCUUAAUAGGUCCGUCACUGCGUGUGUGUAGAAGAUUACCAUAAUCUUUUACGGGAACACAAAAGAAAAAUAGAAGACAUUAUUUUAAAAAUAUAAUAGAAUGGAAUGUCAUACCAUAGUUAUUUGGUAUAUCAUCGAUUCGAUUGAAUAUAGAUGUCAUCCUUCUAAUCUUAAAGGUUCGUUUGCAUUUAUACAAAGAACAUGACCUCUCCACAAAAAAACCCUAGCCCCCUUUCUCCCAUAAAACACUCUUAGAGCCUUUUCCACCUUGAGGGGGGAAGAAGCCAUUGUUCUUCCCCCCUCUCCUCUCCUCUCUUCUCUUCCUCUCUUCCUCCUUUCACCUCUUCCCCCAUUUUCAAAGACAAAGGGUUUUCCCUUUUUGUCUUAGUUUUGUUAUGAUAUUCAUCCAACCAUUAGUGGCGGCUGCGGCUCAGCGUCGGAUCUUCACCUGCAUUUCGGCGUCAGAUCUCCACCACCAUCUUUUUUUCAAUUUCUUUAUGUUUGGAAUAAGUUGCAGAGACUCUUUGGGUUCUCUGUGUAGUUUUCACCUCUCCUUUUGUGAGAGUUUUUCAUCUCUCCAUUGUGAGAGAUUUUCAACUCUCCUUGGUGAGAGUUUUAUUUGUAUUGUUAUGGCUUGGUUUUUUCAAGCUUUAUCUCUUUUUUAUUAUUCUAAGUUUGCAAUCUUAGUUGGGAUGCCUAUGCCAGAGUUUCUUCGAUCUUGCCUGAUCAUUGGUGGAGACAUACCUGAUUUUCUUAAUUUGCUCCGUUAUUGUAAUGGCCCUUUUGUGACUAGUUUGUAUUGGCCAUUUGUGACUAGUGGCUUUUUUGGCUAAAUUAUGAAUGCAAUCAUAGAAUUUCUCAAAAAAAAAAAAAAGAUGUCAUCCUUCUUGGUGGACCAAUUAAUAAGUCCAAGUAACGCUUUUUCAUGAUUCUUUUGAACAAAAAUCUUCUAAGAUUACUGCAAUCAAAUCAGAAGUCGAUACAUUUAUUUUCUUUGGCGAGAGAAUCCACAAUACGACUCUCAUGCUUGCAUAUCAUCUAUUUAAAAAUAUAAAAAUCCAAAUUGUUAUAACAAAAUGCGUACUUAUACGAUGAAGACAAAUAUUAAGAGUGCUGCUAUUUCCACUCACCUGUCCUAUUUUCCCACAUACCUUAUCUUCCCACCCACCAUAUAAAUUUUAAAAAACACAAUCCUAUUUUUCCACCCGCCAAUAUUCCUAAAAUACCCUUUUAAUUGUUACCUCAUUUCCUCUCUCCUUUAUGCUCUAUGCUCAUGUCUUCUCUCUCUCUGAUGCCCACACAUCUCUCUCUCAUUUUUGCUGUAUCUUAUUUUCUACGAAAUUUGAAAUUUGAAAGCAAACAAUAGUAAGUAAUACAGUAGUAAAACGAUAAAAGAAGCAACUUCAUAUCACGAAAUUUGAUGACAAUGGCUAGUCAGCAUGCAAAAAAUGACCAGCCCUUGAAACCAAAACCUGGCACCCGCUCCCCAAUUUCUAAACGCACCGAGCAACCUCUUUACCCACCUUCCAAACUUUCUGGUCCGCUGACAGAAACUUGUUCAUCCUCAGGUUUUCAUAUUUUUAAUUUGUUUAAGAAAAAAAAUUAGGGUCCAAGAAAUACUGAUCUCCCAAUGCUUUAAGUACUUGUAAAGAUCUUAGAAAUUCUGUUCAAAAAGGAUUUCCUUACCUUUUCGCCAAAAUCAUUCUCUUCAACAUCCACUCCCCUAUUGUUUUCUUCUUCAUAAACAAUUUGAUUGAAUGAAUCGAAAAGAGAAGAAAAUUCUUUGAGAAUUGAGUUCUGCUCAUUGAAAAGUCAUAAGAGGAAUCAUGAGCUAGGAGUCAUAGCUUUCUUUUGUUUUUUUCUCUUUCUGUCAAACGAUAGGGUUACGUAAGAACAUAGUCUAAGUUUUUUUUUUUUUUCCUCUUUCUUUUUCCUGAAGUCCUUUUAAGUCAUUUUAUAUAAUGAGGUUAAAUUUGUCUUUAAAAGUUUAAAGAUAAUGUGGGUGGAAACAUAAGACAGGUGGGUGGAAAUAGCAGCACUCAAUAUUAAUAUGGGAUAACUUGGCUAUCAUAGAAGGUAAUGAAAUAGAGAAUUAAUAUUUCCAGAAGGAUAGAAAGAAUAAUUCUUUUAGGAAAACCAAAGGUUACACACAAAAGAGGUAAUUCCAAAACCCUUGCUUGAAAACCCUAAAGGCACACAUGCCUCCUCUCUCUGUGUGGCUCUCACACCAGCCCCAUUUUCUCCCUAAGAAAAUACUCCUAUUCCUUUUUAAAAUACCCACAUCUCCUUGAGACUAUUUUCCGACUUGGGCAUCGGAGGGCCCAAGACCACCACCACACUGGUGUUUAUCCAAUUUAUUAUUCUUGUUUUGCAGGAAAUCUUGGAAGAACAUUUAAAGUGGAGUGAAGAUCUUCCAUAAAUCUACCUGGAGGAAAUUUGCUACCACAAUAAUUUCUACUAACAUGAGAAGAACUUCCCAAGUGUAAAAAUAAAAGUAAUUGUAUAGUAAAGGCAUCAUAAAUUAGAAAACUAACAAGAAAAAGAAUAGAAAACUACCAUUGUAGACCAUUCCUUUUAAGAAUUCAUCAUAAAUAGGUUCAGAAUUCUAUGCCUGGUAUAAUAACAAUUUGCUAUUAAAAAAGAAUAGGUUAGUUAGGCCAUUAAUACAUAUGUUAAAUGAUGACGUGGCAAACAGGAGUUUCAAUUUUUUUGCUGAUGUGCAAUAAAAUAUUCAUAAAAAAUUAUUUAUUUUUGAAAUAAUUUAUAAAAAAGUAAAAAAAAAAAAUUAAGUAAAAUAAUAACAUAACAUUAAAUUGAAAAAAGUCAAAAUUAAGCGAUGAUGAUGUUGUAAUUCAGCAAGGGGCAAUGUAUGAGGGGUUGUGUAUGAGGGAAUUAAUUUGGUUUCCUUUGAAUGUGGAUGUUUUGGGCAUGGGAGAGAUUCUUGCCCUAUUAUUUUGCAAGCCAAACAGCAGGUUCCAGAGUCAGAUAAUGCUGAUUGUAUGGAGGAUAUUUCUACUGUCCAGGUUAAUGUGAAUUUAGGUGCUGCUACAAAGGAGGCUGAGGUUCCAGCAAAGAUGCACGGGGAGUGGAUGUUGUUGAAGCCAAGGAAUUUUAGGAAGAAUAGCACAAAUGAUAUAGGGAAGGGUGCUGAGCUUAGCAAGAGGAAUACAAAGGAUACUAGUACGAAAGCUAUUAGUCCUGUCUUUGGUUCUCGUUUCAAUGUGUCGAUUGAGGAGGUUGGCAGAGAAGAGGAUAUGGAGGGAUCUACUCCUGUUAAGACUAGUGAUUCUAGUUCUAAAAAACAGGGUUCUUUUGCCAAUACUUAUUCUACUAAGGGAAAAAGUGCUGGGGUGAAAUUUGCUUCCUCUCGUGACUCUGGCACAUGGGUGUUUAAAAAACCUCUCAAGGACAUUUCCAAUUCCGUGGUAGCUAAUUCUAGUGGUGGUGGUGUUAAAAGUGGUUCUGUUUUAAGGAGGCCUUGGAAGAAAGACCUGGGCCUAAAUCUUUCUCUUGUCAUGAUAUUGAACCUGUGAGGCUGCAAGUUAAGGGCUCUGAUGUUCAAGAUGAUGUUCGGGGGAAGUUUUCUUUUAAUUUAGGUGGCUCUCUUUUUCCAAAGUUGCCUUUGGGUAAGGGAGGUUUGAGAUGGGAAUUAAUGAGGUUGAGCCUUCCGAUGCGACUGAUAUGGAUCAUCAGAGUAAUUUCUCUGAACAUUGUGAGUCUGAUACUGGACUAGAAGCUGAUAGCUCUUUUGAGCAUGAUGGUUUUGAAGCCGUUGAGGCUGAGCAUGUGCAGAUUUAGGUUUGUACCUAAUAUUGUCCCUCAUUAUUAUCAUUUUAUGAUGAAUAUUAUUGCUUGGAAUGUUAGAGGUGCUGGUAAAGAUAGGUGUGCCAGUACUUUUAUGGACCUAAAAAAGGCUUAUCCCAUUGAUGUGUUUGCCAUUCUUGAGCCUCGAAUAAGUGGCUCUAGGGCUCUCAGUGUUGCCCAGAGUUUUGGUUUUUCUCAUUACCAUAUCGUUGAUGCUUUUGGUUUUUCUGGGGGGUGUUUGGUUGUAGUGGAAUGGGAAUUCAGUUUCUCUUCAAGUUAUUCUACACUCUAGCCAAUCUAUCACUGCGUUAGUAACUUUGAGGAAUCAUACGUGGCUCCUCGCUAUUGUUUAUGCAAACCCUUGCCCUGGGAUUUGAGAAGCUUUGUGGAAGUACUUUGAUGGUCUUACUAAAGCUUCCAAUCUGCCAUGGCUUGUUCUAGGUGAUUUUAAUGAUAUUGUGAGUGUGGAUGAGAAAUGUGGGGGUAAUUUAGACCAAGGUGGUAAAAAUUUUGAUGAGUGGAUUGAUCGUAACCAUUUGGUUGACCUGGGUUUCACUGGGGCAAAGUUUACUUGGUGUAAUAAACAGAAUGCUGAAGGAAUUAUUUGGAAGAGGCUUGAUAGGGGCCUUUGUAGUAUUGAUUGGCGUCUUUUGUUCCCUGAGGCUCACCUCCUGCAUCUUCCGAGGGUGAAUUCAGAUCACUGUCCUAUUUUGGUGCGCCUUGACUCCAAACAUUAUCCUAAUAGAGCAAAUGUGCCUUUUCGUUUCCAAGCAAUGUGGAUGUCUCAUCCUGAUUUUAAGGAAUUUGUUACGAACCUUUGGAGUUCUGGUGAUGGUCAUGCUGUGCACAGAUCAGCUAGGCUCAUGGCUCCGCUUGGCAUUUGGAAUCAGCAGGUUUUUGGGUGUUUAUUUACAAAGAAAAUGCAUCUUUUAGCUAGACUUGCAGAAAUUUAAAAGAACCUUUGUCAUGAGCAUAAUCCUUUCCUUAGUGAGCUUGAGGUUGAGCUUACUAAAGAUUACAAUUUACUACUGGAUCAAGAAGAGACGUUUUGGCUACAAAAGUCCAGGAAUACCUGGCUUAAAGAAGGGGACAUGAAUACUCGGUUCUUCCAUCUGUCUACAGUUGUUAGGCGAAGAAUGAAUAAGUUGGAAUGGUUACAUGAUGAUUUUGGAGAUUGGAUUACUGAGAAACAGAGCAUGAAACAUAUUAUUGUUAAUUAUUUUCAAGGGUUGUUUUGUGCUUAUGAUAUGGUUGGUGACUAUGCUUUGCUUCCUCAGUUGUAUCCUAGCCUUGAAGAGGCUGAUCUUGAAGGUCUUAGUUGUCCGGUUUCUAUUGAAGAGAUUAAGAAUAGUGUGUUUGCUAUUGGUAGAUUAAAGACCCCAGGACCUGAUGGUUUCCCUGCUCUUUUCUACCGAGAUUAUUGGGGGGUUUGAUUUAUCCAAAGCUUAUGAUCGUAUGCAAUGGCCUUUUAUUAGGGAGGUUCUCUGGGAAGUGGCAUUAAAGGAAGCAUUUUGGAGUUGCUUAUGCAGUGUAUCAUUUCUGUGCAGUACAAGGCCAUUCUUAAUGGGGAGCUAAUUGACUCUUUCUCUCCUCAGUGUGGUAUUAGGCAGGGGGACCCUCUCUCCCCUUAUAUAUUUGUUUUGUGUACGGAAAAACUCUCUCAUCUCAUUCAACAAAAGAUUCAGGAUAGAGCUUGGAAGUCUGUUCAGAUUUGUCAAGGAGGUCCUCAUAUUUCCCAUUUAUUCUUUGUUGAUGAUUUAAUCCUUUUUAGGGAAGCUACUACUGAUCAAGCUUGGUUGAUGAAAUAGUGUUUGGAUGAUUUCUGUCAGUUGUCUGGUCAGCGAGUUAGCUUUGAAAAGUCUAUGAUAUGUGUUUCCCCAAAUACGUGCUCUGAUUUGGCUAAUUCAAUUGCUAUGAUAAGUGGUUCUCCUCUCACUGCUAGCCUUGGUAAGUACCUUGGUGUCCCACUAGAGUCAGUAAACAAACAUAUCAAGAGGUUAUUGCUAAAGUCCAAAAGAGAUUAGCUUCUUGGAAGAGCCAUACGUUGUCUAUGGCUGGUAGAAUUACUUUGCUUCAAUCUGUUACUGCUGCUAUUCCUAUCUAUACUAUACAAACUGCCAAGUUGCCUAUGUCUGUCUGUGAUAAAUUGGAUCUGCUCAACAGGAAUUUUCUUUGGGGGCAUACCAGUAAUACUUCUAAAAUCCAUCUUGUCAAUUGGGAGCAAGUGUGUAAACCUAAGGUAGUUGGUGGGUUAGGCAUUAAAAGGUCUGCUUGGAUGAACCAAGCUCUUUUGGCUAAGACUGGAUGAAGACUUCUUCAACAUGAGCAAGGUUUGUGGUCUCAGGUCUUCUAUGCUAAGUACUUAAAACACCAAAACAUUUUAACCGUGAAGGACUCUUUUUUCCCUUGUAGCUCUAGUGUCUGGAGGGGUGUUCUUUAUGGUAAUUCUGUCAUUUCGAAAGGUGUUAAGUGGAGAGUUGGUUAUGGGGAUAAUGUGUUAUUUUGGACUGAUAGGUGGUUGAGUUGUGGUCCUUUGUAUCAAUAUUUGCUCAUUGAUCCUUUUGAGGAAAUGCUUCAGCUGAAUGUUGGUGAUUUUUUGGAUGAGGGGGUCUGGGACUUUAACUGCUUAAGGGAAUGUCUUCUUUUUCAUAUUAUUCAGUUAAUUUGAAGUGUUCAUGCUGGUUUUAAUGGCAGUGGGGCUGAUAGAUAUAUUUGGCAGUUCACGCCUAAUGGUUCUUUCUCGGCUAAAUCAGCCUAUAGUUCCUUUUUACCUGCAGAGGCUUUAGUUAAAUGGGACUGGCAGUUUCUUUGGAGGUUACGACUCCCUCCUAAGGUUAAAACUUUUCUUUGGAUUGUUUGUUAUCCAUAGUUGCUUACUAAUGUGCAAAGGCAGAAGAGAGGCCUCACUCAAGUUCCUACUUGUCCUAGAUGUGAUUAUCCUAUGGAAACUAUUGCUCACAUAUUUAAAGAUUGUCCUUUCUCUUUGGCCAUUUGGAAUUGUCUUCAAAUUGGAAAUAAUCCUAGCCCUGAUAUGGUGGAUUUUAAUGAGUGGCUGUUAAGGAAUCUACAAUCUAAAAGAAAGGUCUAUAACGGGUUGCCUUGGCCUUUGGUUUUUGCACUUUAUCUGUCGUUUAUAUGGAAAUGGAGAUGUAAAGGAAUUUUUUUAUCAAAGGUUUGUUAUGCCUGGUGAACCACAUCAUUUACUUCUUCAGUAUGCUUUGGAGUGGUUUAACACUACCAAACCGCCUUCCCUUUCUUAUAUGCCGUUUGUUGUUCAACUGCAUUGGAUAGCCCCUACUUAUGGAGUUUGUAAGAUUAACACAAAUGGAAGUCGUAACAGUGUUUCUGGGUUUAUUAGUGCUGGUGGUCUUUUAAGAGAUAAUUAUAGUGCUUGGAUUAAGGGUUUCUCUGUGAACCUGGGUGUUGGUUUUGUUCUUGUAGCGUUGUGGGGCAUUUUUUGGGGUCUUCAUUUGGCUUUGGAGUUUGGCUUUCGUGUUGUGGAGAUGGAAAGUGACUCUAGUGUGGAUGUGGCUCUUCUUUCUAGCUCUACUAUUUCCACACACCCCCUGUUUAGCCUUAUUAGGUGUUGCAAGUUAAAGGUGCAAGCUGGUUGGAGAUGUUCUGUUAUGCACAUCUUCAGAGAGCAGAAUGUGGCAGCUCACAUCUUGGCUUCUAAGAGUUCUGAGUUUGGCACUGGGGUGCAGUAUUUUACUGAGGUGCCUACAUUUCUUGCGACUUGUUUGGUUGAGGAUGCUAUUGGGGUGUCCAGGUCCAAUGUUGUUUGUGCUUAUAUUGGGUGUCCAGGUCCCGUGUUGUUUGUGCUUAGUCUGUUUGCUCUGCGCCCUUAGCCCCUCUUGUUGCCAAAAAAAAAAAAACAGUCAAAAACACAACCCAUCCCCACUUCCAGCGAUAUCUGUGGUGGUGUUGGGUGGGGAUGGUUGAUAUCGUUGCCAUUGUCUCCUCUCAGUCCCACCCCAACUUGACUACCUCCUCCCACGCCCCCACCAACCGAGCGAGUACAACCUAGCACUCUCUCUCUCUCUCUCUCUCUCUCUCUCUCUCUCUCUCACAGAGGAGACGGUAAAAUCGACAAGGGAGGGCUUUUAGACCCACCCCUUCUCUCCUGUUUGUAGGGGUGGACAUGGUCUAGUUUGGCCCGAUUUGCACCUGGUCUAGUUUGGCCCGAUCUGCACCUAAAAAAGAAAUAUAAAUCAAUACUAUUGACUAAAAUGACUAGGAGAACCGGACCAAUCUGAACUUGCCAGUCUUGGUUCUAUGGAAUUGCAAUUAAUAUUUUAUCCGAUUAUAUUUAGAUUUUUCCGCAUUAAUUUAUAAAAAAUUUAUAAAAGUAUUCGGAUAUUAUUUAUUUAUUUAUUUAGAGGAACUAGUAAAUUUUCCUUAAAUUGUCAAAGGUUACAGGCUUGAGCGAACAAACAUGGCCUCAUAAAAACCUUGCCCAAGAAAAGUAUUUGGAUACGCUUUCAUUGCUGUAUACGGUUUAAUACCGGUCUUGCAUAGGAAUUGACAUAUCUUGCAAUACGAUGCCUUCCAAUUAGGUUAUGAACUCGAGCAAACAAACGUGUUCUUAUUGAUACCGUAUCCACUGCAAUUAAUACUGUAUCAAUUAUUGAGUUUUUUCCACAUCAGUUUAUAAAGUUUAUAGAAGUAUUUGGAUACGCUUUCAUCCUAUUCAAAAGUUGUACAUAUUAAAAAGAGUAAAUUGUGGUAGACCUCCCCAAAUUAGGACCCCAAUCGAACUUAACUUUAUGAACUAAAAAAUCAGCUAAUUUAACACCCAAAUUAAUUAAAAUUGUCAAUUUAAUACCUGCCGUUAGAUUUUAUCACUUUUCAUCUAAAAUUCCUUCGUACGUGGCAUGUGAGACACAUGUGCAAUAUAAUUGGAGAACAAUAUAGUUCUUCAAACCUGUUUUCCUACCACUAUUCAACUUCCCUAAUAGUUGAGGCCAAAUUAAAAAUAGAGGAGCCCUAAUUUCACAAAUUCCACCAUUACAGACAAUUGUUAUGACAUAUACCCACCCAUAGCAUACAGUUGAGAAGAAGGAGAAGAAGAUGAAGUGGUUAGAAAAUGCAAAGGAACAUGCCUAGAGCAAAUGGUUCAGCCGAGUCCAAGUUCAAAUACCUGGAGCAAGAGGUUCUCUGUGUGUUCUAGAGAUAAGGAGCCUUCAGUCGGUUCUGACAUCAACUAUCCUCAUCAUUUGUUACCAAGUUAAUCGAGCCUAAACGUCUUGGUGCAAAACUUGCCUUUGUGGAGCAUUUGCCUUUUCACAACCAUUGACAGGGGAUAUAUUGACCCAGUUGUAAAGUGAGGAGGUAUGUAAGCCCCUAUUCUAAUUAAGAGUCUCUCUAUUGAUCUACACUUUCUUCAUUUAGACCCGUUUGGUUCAUGAGAAAUCAAUUGCUUUAAAUGUUUGGUAAGCUUAGGCAUAUAAGACAGAAAUAUCAGACGGUGUUACUGCCAAAUUCACAAGGGAAGUUUUUAGUGAUGAAAAUUGGGAUCAAACAGGUCAACAAUGGUAUAAGAGGGAUCUAAAUCCUAUUGGCAUUGAUGAAAAUUGUGUUGUGUAUUCAUUUAUCUUGGACAAAGGAGAGAACAUGUAGCACAAAAGCAAAGUAGAACACAUCAAUUUAUGUAUAGAGAACAUUAAUCAGUACUUUCUACUUCUUGGAUCAAGGAAGAGGUGCCAAGGACGAUGUAGCACAACCAAGAGCCUUUGUCACGCCAGUAAUUGUGGGCUUGACAUUAGAACACACAGAGGUAAGAGGGCCUUUGUCUCCACCGUAGGUGAGAUCAAUGUCAGUCAACUCCACAUUCUCACACGGUUUGCCCGUGGUACAUACAAGCUUGACUGCAAGUGGAGUGAAAGAUGAGCCCUUAAUGUUCUUGAAGCUGACAUUGUUGAUCUUAACUUUUGACGGAGGCUUUUGUUCACACUUAGUAUAUGGGCAGUACAAUUGGUCUAUGAGGAUAGGGUUACUGACAUUAACCAUGAUAAUAUCCUCAUAGUGUAUACCCGAGGCAGAGCUAGGCGAAGGAGAAUCUGGAAAUGUUUUGAUUCUCACACCGUUCUCCGUAUUAGUCAGGGUGCAGUUCUUAACUAUGAUCCCGGUCACAUCCUUUUCUUCCUUAUAUUUUCCAAGGCUUCCAAUGCUUAUUCCAUGGCCUGGCCCACAAGUAACACCAGUCACUGUGAUUUCGUGGGAGUCAUCACCAAUAGAAAUACAGUCAUCCCCAGUUCCAAUCUUUGAAUGAGUAAUGUUGAUACCAGUCGAAGCCCCGAUAUGGAUUCCAUCUGUGUUUCUGCUCUCGUCAGGUGCUGUGAUGGUAAGCUGUUGAAAUGUAGUAUGGUUGCACCGGAAAACAUGGAUGUGGAAAAAUUUGCUGUUAAGUGAAGUUAUGUCCUGAACUUUGGAAUUUGUGAGGAAUUCAAACCGCAGAUUAACGGGAGGAGGUUUGCAAUUUUUGUUUUUGUGGCAGUCAUUUUGAUUCCAAGAAAGUGCUCCUUGGCCAUCAAAAGUCCCACCACCUGAUAAGGUGAGCAUGUCAAUGUACUGAAAACCAACCCAAGUAUCCGGUCUUGUGAGUUGGCCAGCGUCUGCUGGAGCCUGCAAUGUGCCUUGAACUUGCAUCUCAAUAGGAGCCUUACAGGGGCCUCUGAAAGUUGCUUCUUUUAACUUGUAUGUCCCGCUCGGAACGACAACUUUACUCGCGGAUGGCGAUGCACAUGCAUCACUCCAAGCCUUGGCCAAGGCCGUACUGACAUCAGAGCCAGGCUUUGCACCGUAUGUUGCACUUGUGGUUGUUAGUUCAUCUAUUUUUUACCAUAUUCUUUUAAUUUUUCUUAUAAUCCAUAGGUUUUGCUUGCUAUCUACCGGUGACAUCCAUCUUGAUUUUCCUUCCAAUUUGUUAUUUUAUUCUCUGUUUUUUUUUUUUUUUCCCUUUGGAAGGAUGAUGAACUCCGUUUUGAGUGAAGGCCAUUUAAAGUCCGAUUGGGAAGGCUCACACCAUCAAACUAUCCGACCAAUCACAACUAUUUUUAGACACAGUUGCAUUCUAGUUUAGCUUUAUGUUCUGUAAAUAGUAAGCCGAUUAGCAUAGAGAAUAUCGUCACCAAAGGCGAUUUCUAGGACGUGCUAGCUGUUUGUAGUACNNNNNNNNNNNNNNNNNNNNNNNNNNNNNNNNNNNNNNNNNNNNNNNNNNNNNNNNNNNNNNNNNNNNNNNNNNNNNNNNNNNNNNNNNNNNNNNNNNNNNNNNNNNNNNNNNNNNNNNNNNNNNNNNNNNNNNNNNNNNNNNNNNNNNNNNNNNNNNNNNNNNNNNNNNNNNNNNNNNNNNNNNNNNNNNNNNNNNNNNNNNNNNNNNNNNNNNNNNNNNNNNNNUGGUUGUUAGUUCAUCUAUUUUUUACCAUAUUCUUUUAAUUUUUCUUAUAAUCCAUAGGUUUUGCUUGCUAUCUACCGGUGACAUUGAUCUCACCUACAAUGGAAACAAAGGCCCUCUUACCUCUCAAUGUUAAUGUCAAGCCCACCAUUAUUUGUGUGACAAAAGCCCUUGCCUGUGCUACCUAUGCUGGGUGAAAGAAAUGGAAAGUACUAAAGAUAAAUUGUUGUGUUCUUUGGUUUUUUUGAUUUUGUGGUGCUUGUACAGGUCUUUUUUCUUCGCUCAGAUGCCUUCACAUGUUUUGAGCUAUAAAAUUCUAAUAUAUUUAAUAUUUGCAAAUAAAUUGCUAGUGUUAAAACAUACAUUCACUAAUUCAUCAUUGUCUAGAUAAUGCUUCAGUUUCUACUCUAUAUACUUUUCUUAGCCUACAACCAGUUCGAUGCUUGGCCAAUUGAAGCUGGGAUUAGUAUGCCAGCUUGAUUUUGAUCCUUCCACUAUAUUAAUUGAAGAUUAUCAGACAAACCGAAUGUGUGUGUAUAUAUAUGUAUAUAUAUAUAUAUACAUUUAUUCUCUCAUCCAGACGGUCUGGACGUUAUUAUCGUGCGGGCGCCAUUGUAAACAAGGAGUACACUUUUAAAAUAAAUUAAUAUUUAAAGAGUGGCUAUACUUGUUAUUUAUGCGAAUAUUCUAUACUAUUUAAAUAUUUGAAUGGAUGUCAAGCAUAUAGCCGACCAGCUAUACUGCAUAAAAGUGUGUUCUUUUUUGUAAUCAAGUAAUAUCUUACCAUUUCAAAAUUAAUUGAAUUUUUAUGUAUUUAGUGAAUAAUUAUUAUUGAAAUAUUUUACUAAUUUCAAUAUUUACUUCAUAAAUUGUAAUUAAUUAUUUAAAAUUAUUUUGUGGACUUUAAUUUUCUACAAAAUUAGUUUAUUUUGUUUAAUAUGUUCAAAUAUUUUAAUAGUAUAGCCGUGCGACUGUACUAUUAAAAUAUAUUAAUAUUUAAAGCGUAUAGCCAUGCGGCUAUACCUGUUAAGUAUAUUUUAGUUUUAAGAGUAUAGCCGCACGACAAUACUUUUAAAAUAUUUAGACAUAUUGAAUAUUCGAACAGAUUAAACUAAAUAAACUAAUUUUGUACAAAAUAAAAUAAAAAAACAAAGUCCACAAAAUAAUUUAAAAUAAUUAAUUACAAUUUAUUAAGUAAUUUUUGAAAUUACUAAAAAAUUUAAAUACUAAUUGUUCACUAAAUUUAUAAUAAUUAAAGCAAUUAAAAAAGGCUAAGAUCUAACUUUUUAUCUUUCAAUGGAUCCAUCUGCUUUGAGUUUCACAGUAUAGAUCAACCCGCAUCCCACAGUAUUCUUUCCAUAAGGUAAAGGCACGAGCUCUCAUGUGGCAAUCUUCUGGAGAGCUCGCAUGUAACACCCCGUCCCAAAAAUACUGUUCAAUUGAUUAUUUAAUUGUGGAUUUACAAUUAAGCCCUUGGGGGUAGGGUUACUUUAGUCACUUUUCAAUCUGGACGGUUUUUCAGGAUUUUAGUAACACCAUUUUGUAGAGCUCGCUCUCACGAGUUCGUAGACACAUAGUGGGCUCAAAUCGGAGUUAUAACGAAGAAGUUGUGGUCCACGGAAGUGCAGUGGCAAAAACGUAAAAUUUUCAAAGUUGGAUUUUAAAAUACCCAAUCAGCCUCUCUCUCUCUCUCUCUCUCUCUCUCUCUCUCUCUCUCUCUCUCUACGCACACGACUUUCUCUCUUUACAAGAGCGGCGGCAAAUUUUCGACCGUGAUUUUGUCAUCGUCCGGUGUCCGAUUCGAGCAAAAUUGGUUACAAAAGUUUCGUAACAGUGUCCUCUAUCUUACCCACAUUUCCCAGCUCAAAAACCCAAGGAAAUUAAACUGAGCUACUGGAAGUUCGAGUGAUUUUUGAAGUUUUCGAGGCUGUUUUCAGCGAUCUCGGUGGCGGUUUUCGUCUAUCCAGGUAUGAAUCUUCAUCCCAUCCACGUGCUCUAGUUGUUUAUGUUGGUAUCUUGGAUAAAUUUUGAGGUUUUACAUGUCGUUUAAAAUACCCAUUUUAGCCAACGGUUUUGGCUUCAAUUCGGCUAGUUCCGACUAGUUUUUGGCCGUGGUCCAAGAACAGAACUUGAUCCCCUAGUAAGUCUGAAUCUGUUGGCAUAGGUAUUCACUGGUGGUUUGGAGAUUUUUCGUCGCUGAAAAAUCUUUUAAGACACCCACGCGCUGCUGGCGGUGGGUGGCGGCCCAUGGAGUUCUAAAUUGUUACCCUUGUUGUCCUGAGCACGACGGUAUGCUUGGAUUUUGAUUUGAUUAUCGUUUGACUGUCGAACGGAUAUUGCACCUGUUAUGCGAUAUUCGGGUUCAAUAGGUUUGGACCGUUCAAUCGGUCCCAUUUUCUAAUGCGUUGUUCCUCGUACUUCUAAGAUUUGUGUUGGAACUGGUGGAUCGAGAAUGGGAGUCCCGGAUACUCCUAAUCAAUGAUUCUAGGGCUAAGUAAACCGGUUACCAUCCGAUCGUGUGAUCGAGACCAAACUCUGAAAACUUGUUAAGUAGACCUUGUUGGACUUAUAGUAAAGUUUGGAUCGAAAAUAGGAGGUUGUGGACCCCUAGAGCCCAAUUGGUCAAAUUCAGCGAUCGGGGUCAAACUGACCGUUAGAUCGUGACGGGACUUCUAGAAUGGGCUGAACUUUUGGUUAUGGACCAAUAGGAAUUGUCAUAUAGCAAUUGGGGUUGGGGGCCCUUCGAGCCCAGUUGACUUAGAUUGUGGGCUUUGUUGGCUCGGUCGAGGCCUUUUAGUAGUUGUAAUUGUAAUUGGAGGUUUGUUUUAAAAUGGUAUUGUGUUUUGACCGUUUCAUUAAAUUUUUAUGAAUUAUUAUGUUAUCGCUUUUACUUUCCAUGAAUAAGGAAUGGCUUGGAUAACCGGAUUUUGGCAUGAAUAAGGAAUUAAUUAAAUGCCUGAUUGUAUGUCUAUAUUUAAAUAUAUGCUCGGUGGCUUGAAAUCGAUGAAUGAUGGACACUAGUUUUCUCAAUAGUAUGUUGUACAUAUUUGAAUGUAGUUUGAGAACAGUUUUGAAAGAUUAUGCAUGGUCAAGUUCAAGUUAAGGAAUGUUGGGAUUGAUCACAUUUUAAAAAAGGAUUUUUGGUUAUCUAUUUAAAAAUUGAUUUUUGGAAAUUUGAGAAAGAAUUUGGAAACUGGAUUAGUGGAAAAAGAGGAAUUUUAUGAUAAGUUUCGGAAAAUGGUUUUCAAAACCCACCACCAGAGUACCGCCCCCCAAGUUGCCUUCGGAACAGUCUAGUCAUUUAUGACAAUGCCCACGAGUCUCGGGGACCCCUGAACCAUGUGGUGUGAGGAUUUGCGUUCUCGGGUUGAUUAUAUCUUCCUGAGUCGUGCGAGGGGAUUUGACGGAUAUGGGUUUCGGGCUGAUCACCCGAUUCUGCGAGGAUAUGCGUUCUCGGGCAGACCACGUAUUCCCCGAGUUACAUGGGAAAGUAGUGGGGAAAGUGAAGCCCUCCUCCCCCCUUGGGUUUUGUUUUCCCUCAUCACUGGAAAGUUUGGGAAAAUGAACCAACAUUAAAUGCACAUUUUUCAUGAUCAUUUUGUCCCCCUUAAAAAUUUAGAAUUACAAUAUAUCAUUAAAUGCGUUCUUUUUUUUAUUUGAGUUAAUACAGGUAUAAUUGGAAAAUUAUACAAAUUUUGUUUUCCAUUUCUACUCAAAACGAACAUGGGAAACGAAAUAAAGGGAUAUCUCCUGGUUACUUUCAUUUCCCGUCUCUUGGGAAAUGACAUGGGAAGUGAUUUCCCCUCAAAUCCAUUCUGUGAACCAAAUGGGGCCUUAAGGUAAGAGCUUUUCCCCCAUAACAAGAGUUUUCUUUAGGGUUUUCCAUCCCUGGUUUGUCUGGGGUUUUCUUUAUUUUCUUACCAAACUGGUGAUAUACCGGGGUUUCCCUUCGAUAUCCAAGUAGUUGGAAUGGAAGAGGUGAUAAAUUCAUUGGAGAAAGUACUCAUCCUAACUGAAGACGAGAAUGAUUCGAUUUAGUAGGACAAAAUGAUGUCGAUGACGUGGGGGAGCGACUCAAGACGAGCCUGGUUGGAAAUGUCUUUACAACUAAUGUUUUCAACCGGGAGACAUUCAAGCAAACGAUAUUGAUGAUUUAGAACACAGCUCGUGAGGUGGGGGUGAAAGAUUUAGGUGAAAAUAUCUUUUUGUUCAUCUUUGUGACGGAAGGGGAUUGACUGAAGGUGUUGUGCAGUCGGCCUUGGAAUUUUGAAAAGCUCUAGUAUAACUUGAGAUUCCUGGUGGUAGUAUUGCUCCAUAAAAAAUGCAUCUAAAGUAUGCAGAAUUCUGAAUUGAAGUCCGUAACGUACCACUGAGUUGUGAGAAGACAAAUAUGGGGAGACAAAUUGGGAAUAUCUUGGACAGUGUUUGGAUGUAACAUAGGGCAUGGACGGGGAGUGUUUGGGUAGAUUUAUGUGGAUGCGUGUUUGUUUGGAUGUCUCCAAGUCGUUACGGUGAGGAAAAUGGUGAUUCUACCUUCUGGAAACAUAGAGUUAGUAGAUUUCCGAGACGAACAAUUGCCAGAAUUUUGUUUUGUGUGCGACAGAGUGGGUCAUGUGUUCAAGGUGUGUUCUUUUGUCGACCAGGCAGCCAAGCAAGCCAGCAAAAAGCCUAAAGGGACAUGGUUAGAGGCCACCACUGAUUUUAUCACUACAAGGGCAAGUAGUCCUAAGCGAUCCAACUGUGGUGGUAUGAGUAGACAUGUAUACGAAUAUCUAUGUAUGUGUGUGCACUGGGACCUAGGAAUUUUUUAGCGAAGAUGCAAUUUUGAAAGGCUAAAAACUGUUUGUGGAUUGAACAUCUAAGGUUUUUUUUACCUAAAUUGACCUUAGGUCCCUUAAUGCAUUCAUAUAAUACAUUAAAAAUUAUUUUAUAUAAAAAUAUUGAAUAAGUAUGAAAAAUGGUUUUUUGGAAUAAUCAUUUUCACAAGAUAAUUUUGGCGGCUUUUAUUCCUUACACAUCAAAUAAGAAAACUUAAUUUUAUGAAAUUUUAGUAUGAAGUAUAUAUUGACGUAAUGAGCCAUCAUUUUUAUCAUAAAUCGUAUUUUGCACUAAAACCGAUUUUUUCAUAUUUUGAGUUGGUGGGAAUUUAAUUUUCUAGUAUUUUUAUUUGAAUCCAAAUGGGGGGUACUUCCUUAUUUACAUUGUAAACUUAAGUAAAUGGAGUAAUAUAAAAAUAAAUGAAAGUAAAACAACAAAGACAUUUACUUAAAUGUUGAAAAUGGAAAUAAGGUAAUCUGUACAUCAGCUGAGCAAAGGGGCAAUUUGAAGCCUUAAUAGGUCCGUCACUGCGUGUGUGUAGAAGAUUACCAUAAUCUUUUACGGGAACACAAAAGAAAAAUAGAAGACAUUAUUUAAAAAAUAUAAUAGAAUGGAAUGUCAUACCAUAGUUAUUUGGUAAAUCAUCGAUUCGAUUGAAUAUAGAUGUCAUCCUUCUAAUCUUAAAGGUUCGUUUUCAUUUAUACAAAGAACAUGACCUCUCCACAAAAAAACCCUAGCCCCCUUUCUCCCAAAAAACACUCUCAGAGCCUUUUCCAUCUUGAGGGGGGAAGAAGCCAUUAUUCUUCCCCCCUCUCCUCUCCUCUCUUCUCUUCCUCUCUUCCUCCUUUCACCUCUUCCCCCAUUUUCAAAGACAAAGGGUUUUCCCUAUUUGUCUUAGUUUUGUUGUGAUAUUCAUCCAACCAUUAGUGGUGGCUGCAGCUCAGCGUCAGAUCUUCACCUGCAUUUCGGCGUCAGAUCUCCACCACCAUCUUUUUUGCAAUUUCUUUAUGUUUGGAAUAAGUUGCAGAGACUCUUUGGGUUCUCUGUGUAGUUUUCACCUCUCCUUUUGUGAGAGUUUUUCAUCUCUCAUUUGUGAGAGAUUUUCAUCUCUCCUUGGUGAGAGUUUUAUUUGUAUUGUUAUGGCUUGAUUUUUUCAAUCUUUAUCUCUUUUUUAUUAUUCUAAUUUGCAAUCUUAGUUGGGAUGCCUAUGCCAGAGUUUCUUCGAUCUUGCCUGAUCAUUGGUGGAGACAUGCCUGAUUUUCUUAAUUUGCUCCGUUAUUGUAAUGGCCCUUUUGUGACCAGUUUGUAUUGGCCAUUUGUGACUAGUGGCGUUUUUGGCUGAAUUAUGAAUGCAAUCAUAGAGUUUCUCAAAAAAAAAAAAAAGAUGUCAUCCUUCUUGGUGGACCAAUUAAUAAGUCCAAGUAACGCUUUUUCAUGAUUCUUUUGAACAAAAAUCUUCUAAGAUUACUGCAAUCAAAUCAGAAGUCGAUACAUUUAUUUUCCUUGGUGAGAGAAUCCACAAUACGACUCUCAUGCUUGCAUAUCAUCUAUUUAAAAAUAUAAAAAUCCAAAUUGUUAUAACAAACUGCGUACUUAUACGAUGAAGACAAAUAUUAAGAGUGCUGCUAUUUCCACUCACCUGUCCUAUUUUCCCACAUACCUUAUCUUCCCACCCACCAAACACAAUCCUAUUUUUCCACCCACCAAUAUUCCUAAAAUACCCUUUUAAUUAUUACCUCAUUUCCUCUCUCCUUUAUUCUCUUUGCUCAUGUCUUCUCUCUCUCUGACGCCCACACAUCUCUCUCUCAUUUUUGCUGUAUCUUAUUUUCUACAAAAUUUGAAAUUUGAAAGCAAACAAUAGUAAGUAAUACAGUAGUAAAACGAUAAAAGAAGCAACUUCAUAUCACGAAAUUUGAUGACAAUGGCUAGUCAGCAUGCAAAAAAUGACCAGCCCUUGAAACCAAAACCUGGCGCAGGCUCUCCAAUUUCUAAACGUACCCAGCAACCUCUUUAUCCACCUUCCAAACUUUCUGGUCCGCUGACAGAAACUUGUUCAUCCUCAGGUUUUCAUAUUUUUAAUUUGUUUAAGAAAAAAAAUUAGAGUCCAAGAAAUACUGAUCUCCCAAUGCUUUAAGUAAUUGUAAAGAUCUUAGAAAUUCUGUUCAAAAAGGAUUUCCUUACCUUUUCGCCAAAAUCGUUCUCUUCAACAUCCAUUCUCCUAUUGUUUUCUUCUUCAUAAACAAUUUGAUUGAAUGAAUAGAAAAGAGAAGAAAAUUAUUUGAGAAAUGAGUUCUGAGCAUUGAAAAGUCAUAAGAGGAAUCAUGAGCUAGGAGUCAUAGCUUUCUUUUGUUUUUUUCUCUUUCUGUCAAACAAUAGGGUUACGUGAGAACAUAGUCUGAGUUUUUUUUUUUUUUUUCCCUCUUUCUUUUUCCUGAAGUCCUUUUAAGUCAUUUUAUAUAAUGAGGUUAAAUUUGUCUUUAAAAGUUUAAAGAUAAGGUGGGUGGAAACAUAAGACAGGUGGGUGGAAAUAGCAGCACUUAAUAUUAAUAUGGGAUAACUUGGCUAUCAUAGAAGGUAAUCAAAUAGAGAAUUAAUCUUUCCAAAAGGAUAGAAAUAAUAAUUGUUUUAGGAAAACCAAAGGUUACACACAAAAGAGGUAAUUCCAAAACCCUUGCUUGAAAACCCUAAAGGCACACAUGCCUCCUCUCUCUGUGUGGCUCUCACACCACCCCCAUUUUCUCCCUAAGAAAAUACUCCUAUUCCUUUGAAAAAUACCCACAUCUCCUUGAGACUAUUUUCCGACUUGGGCAUCGGAGGGCCCAGGACCACCACCACAUUGGUGUUUAUCCGAUUUAUUAUUCUUGUUUUGCAGGAAAUCUUGGAAGAACAUUUAAAGUGGAGUGAAGAUCUUCCAUAAAUCUACCUGGGAGGAAAUUUGCUACCACAAUAAUUUCUACUAACAUGAGAAGAACUUCCCAAGUGUAAAAAUAAAAGUAAUUGUAUAGUAAAGGCAUCAUAAAUUAGAAAACUAACAAGAAAAAGAAUAGAAAACUACCAUUGUAGACCAUUCCUUUUAAGAAUUCAUCAUAAAUAGGUUAAGAAUUCUAUGCCUGGUAUAAUAACAAUUUGCUAUUAAAAAAGAAUAGGUCAGUUAGGCCAUUAAUACAUAUGUUAAAUGAUGACGUGGCAAACAUGAGUUUCAAUGUUUUUGCUGAUGUGUAAUAAAAUAUUUAUAAAAAAUUAUUUAUUUUUGAAAUAAUUUAAAAAAAGUAAAAAAAUAAAUUAAGUAAAAUAAAUGCAUAACAUUAAAUUGAAAAAAGUCAAAAACACAGAUACAAUUAUUCUCUCUCAUAUAAUAUCUCUACAAAAGAUUUGGGACAAGAUGAACGCGCCUCACGCGCUUUGAAGGUUUUCUCUGUUUCCUCACUUGUUUUGCGUGUGCUCAAGGCUGUGAUUACAGCGGCCGUCGACGACGGUCUCUGUGAUGCCGGAAUUUGUUUUCUCUGCUGGGGUGGGUGGUUCCCUUAACGAUGGCCCUAUUGCUGGUGAGAAAAGAGCUCGAACCCUGGAGAUAUUGGAUGUUGGCGGACUGUAAUCGGACGAGCCGUCUCCCCCUCUUCCUCCAAUCCCGAUGAGUUUUAAGGAUAAAGUUUCUGGGGAUUUUGGUAUGGCGGAGGAUCAGUUGGUGUUAAGCGAUGAUAUGUUGUAAUUCAGCAAGGGGCAAUUCCCUCAAUACAUUUCUCAGGCAAAGUAAAGAGCUCUUUGUAUCGGCCUUGGCGUUUUGCUGUAAUUAUUAAGCUCAUGGGUCGUCCUCUGGCUUUCACAUUUCUCAGAUCUCGUCUUCUCCAGAGAUGGGCACUUAAGGGUCCUAUGAGCUUAAUAGAUCUAGAGAUUAACUACUUCAUUGUGAAGUUCCUUUAUGAGGAAGAUAUGAGAUACGUGCUCACUGGUGGUCCUUGGCAAAUUGCUGGCCAAUACAUUGUGACACAGAAAUGGAAGCUUGGGUUUAAUGCGAAGGAGGAGAAGAUCACCCAUAUGACUGCUUGGGUUUGAAUUAAUGGGCUGAACGUUGAAUAUUUUCGUGUUGAUGUUAUGGAAAAAAUUGGAAAUCUUGUUGGUGCUACGGUCAAGGUGGAUGCUCGUACUCUCAGUCAAGGUCGUGGUAAGUUUGCUCGAAUUUGUGUGGAACUUGAUUUGGCUAAGCCUUUUACCCCAUUCAUUAAGAUUGAAGGCCGUACAUAUGGGGUUGUGUAUGAGGGAAUUAAUUUGGUUUGCUUUGAAUGUGGAUGUUUUGGGCAUGGGAGAGAUUCUUGCCCUAUUAUUUUGCAAGCCAAACAGCAGGUUCCAGAGUCAGAUAAUGCUGAUUGUAUGGAGGAUAUUUCUACUGUCCAGGUUAAUGUGAAUUUAGGUGCUGCUACAAAGGAGGCUGAGGUUCCAGCAAAGAUGCACGGGGAGUGGAUGUUGUUGAAGCCAAGGAAUUUUAGGAAGAAUAGCACAAAUGAUAUAGGGAAGGGUGCUGAGCUUAGCAAGAGGAAUACAAAGGAUACUGGUACGAAAGCUAUUAGUCCUAUCUUUGGUUCUCGUUUCAAUGUGUUGAUUGAGGAGGUUGGCAGAGAAGAGGAUAUGGAGGGAUCUACUCCUGUUAAGACUAGUGAUUCUAGUUUUAAAAAACAGGGUUCUUUUGCCAAUACUUAUUCUACUAAGGGAAAAAGUGCUGGGGUGAAAUUUGCUUCAUCUCGUGACUCUGGCACAUGGGUGUUUGAAAAACCUCUCAAAGAUAUUUCCAAUUCCGUGGUAGCUAAUUCUAGUGGUGGUGGUGUUAAAAGUGGUUCUGUUUUAAGGAGGCCUUGGAAGAAAGAGCUGGGCCUAAAUCUUUCUCUUGUCAUGAUAUUGAACCUGUGAGGCUGCAAGUUAAGGGCUCUGAUGUUCAAGAUGAUGUUCGGGGGAAGUUUUCUUUUGAUUUAGGUGGCUCUCUUUUUCAAAAGUUGCCUUUGGGUAAGGGAGGUUUAUUUUUUGGUCAUGAACCUCCUGAUAUCAGUGAGAUGGGAAUUAAUGAGAUUGAGCCUUCCGAUGCGAGUGAUAUGGAUCAUCAGGGUAAUUUCUCUGAACAUUGUGAGUCUGAUACUGGACUAGAAGCUGAUAGCUCUUUUGAGCAUGAUGGUUUUGAAGCCGUUGAGGCUGAGCAUGUGCAGAUUUAGGUUUGUACCUAAUAUUAUCCCUCAUUAUUAUCAUUUUAUGAUGAAUAUUAUUGCUUGGAAUGUUAGAGGUGCUGGUAAAGAUAGGUGUGCUAGUACUAUUAAGGCCCUAAAAAAGGCUUAUCCCAUUGAUGUGUUUACUAUUCUUGAGCCUCGAAUAAGUGGCUCUAGGGCUCUCAGUGUUGCCCAGAGUUUGGGUUUUUCUCAUUACCAUAUUGUUGAUGCUUUUGGUUUUUCUGGGGGUGUUUGGUUGUUGUGGAAUGGGAAUUCAGUUUCUCUUCAAGUUAUUCCGCACUCUAGCCAAUCUAUCACUGCGUUAGUAACUUUGAGGAAUCAUAGGUGCCUCCUCGCUAUUGUUUAUGCAAACCCUUGCCCUGGGAUUUGAGAAGCUUUGUGGAAGUACUUUGAUGGUCUUAUUGAAGCUUCCAAUCAGCCAUGGCUUGUUCUAGGUGAUUUUAAUGAUAUUGUGAGUGUGGAUGAGAAAUGUGGGGGUAAUUUAGAUCAAGGUGGUAAAAAUUUUUAAGAGUGGAUUGAUGGUAACCAUUUCGUUGACCUGGGUUUCAUUGGGGCAAAGUUUACUUCGUGUAAUAAACAGAAUGCUGAAGGAAAUAUUUGGAAGAGGCUUGAUAGGGGCCUUUGUGGUAUUGAUUGGCGUCUUUUGUUCCCUGAGGCUCACCUCCUGCAUCUUCCUAGGGUGAAUUCAGAUCACUGUCCUAUUUUGGUGUGCCUUGACUCCAAACAUUAUCCUAAUAGAGCAAAUGUGCCUUUUCGUUUCCAAGCCAUGUGGAUGUCUCAUCCUGAUUUUAAGGAAUUUGUUACGAACCUUUGGAGUUCUGGUGAUGGUCAUGCUGUGCACAGAUCAGCUAGGCUCGUGGCUCCGCUUGGCAUUUGGAAUCAGCAGGUUUUUAGUUGUUUAUUUACAAUGAAAAGGCAUCUUUUAGCUAGACUUGCAGGAAUUUAAAAGAAGCUUUGUCAUGAGCAUAAUCCUUUCCUUAGUGAGCUUGAGGUUGAGCUUACUAAAGAUUACAAUUUACUACUGGAUCAAGAAAAGACUUUUUGGCUACAAAAGUCCAGGAAUACCUGGCUUAAAGAAGGGGACAGGAAUACUCGGUUCUUCCAUCUGUCUACAGUUGUUAGACGAAGAAUGAAUAAGUUGGAAUGGUUACAUGAUGAUUUUGGGGAUUGGAUUACUGAGAAACAGAGCAUGAAACAUAUUAUUGUUAAUUAUUUUGACAAAUUACGGAUAACAUUAUUGUUGCUCAAGAAGUGCUCCACAAUUUUAAAUAUGCCAAAGAGAAGAAGGGUUUUAUAGCUUGGAAAAUUGAUUUAUCCAAAGCUUAUGAUCGUAUGCAAUGGCCUUUUAUUAGGGAGGUUCUCUGGGAAGUGGGCAUUAAAGGAAGCAUUUUGGAGUUGCUUAUGCAGUGUAUCAUUUCUGUGCAGUACAAGGCCAUUCUUAAUGGGGAGCUAAUUGACUCUUUCUCUCCUCAGUGUGGUAUUAGGCAGGGGGACCCUCUCUCCCCUUAUAUAUUUGUUUUGUGUAUGGAAAAACUCUCUCAUCUCAUUCAACAAAAGAUUCAGGAUAGAGCUUGGAAAUCUGUUCGGAUUUGUCAAGGAGGUCCUCAUAUUUCCCAUUUAUUCUUUGUUGAUGAUUUAAUCCUUUUUGGGGAAGCAACUAUUGAUCAAGCUUGGUUGAUGAAAUAGUGUUUGGAUGAUUUCUGUCAGUUGUGUGGUCAGCGAGUUAUCUUUGAAAAGUCUAUGAUAUGUGUUUCCCCAAAUACGUGCUCUGAUUUGGCUAAUUCAAUUGCUAUGAUUAGUGGUUCUCCUCUCACUGCUAGCCUUGGUAAGUACCUUGGUGUCCCACUAGAGUCAGUAAACAAACAUAUCAAGAGGUUAUUGCUAAAGUCCCAAAGAGAUUAGCUUCUUGGAAGAGCCAUAUGGCUGGUUGAAUUACUUUGCUUCAAUCUGUUACUGCUGCUAUUCCUAUCUAUACUAUACAAACUGUCAAGUUGCCUAUGUCUGUCUGUGAUAAAUUGGAUCUGCUCAACAGGAAUUUUCUUUGGGGGCAUACCAGUAAUACUUCUAAAAUCCAUCUUGUCAACUGGGAGCAAGUGUGUAAACCUAAGGUAGUUGGUGGGUUAGUCAUUAAAAGGUCUGCUUGGAUGAACCAAGCUCUUUUGGCUAAGACUGGAUGAAGACCUCUUAAACAUGAGCAAGGUUUGUGGUCUCAGGUCUUCUAUGCCAAGUACUUAAAACACCAAAACAUUUUAACCGUGAAGGACUCUUUUUUCCCUUGUAGCUCUAGUGUCUGGAGGGGUGUUCUUUAUGGUAAUUCUGUCAUUUGCAAAGGUGUUAAGUGGAGAGUUGGUUAUGGGGAUAAUGUGUUAUUUUGGACUGAUAGGUGGUUGAGUUGUGGUCCUUUGUAUCAAUAUUUGCUCAUUGAUCUUUUUGAGGAAAUGCUUCAGCUGAAUGUUGGUGAUUUUUUGGAUGAGGGGGUCUGGGACUUUAACUGCUUAAGGGAAUGUCUUCCUUUUCAUGUUAUUCAGUUAAUUUUAAGUGUUCAUGCUGGUUUUAAUGGCAGUGGGGCUGAUAGAUAUAUUUGGCAGUUCACGACUAAUGGUUCUUUCUCGGCUAAAUCAGCCUAUAGUUCCUUUUUACCUGCAGAGGCUUUAGUUAAAUGGGACUGGCAGUUUCUUUGGAGGUUACGGCUCCCUCCUAAGGUUAAAACUUUUCUUUGGAUUGUUUGUCAUCGAAAGUUGCUUACUAAUGUGCAAAGGCAGAAGAGAGGCCUCACUCAAGUUCCUACUUGUCCUAGAUGUGAUUAUCCUAUGGAAACUAUUGCUCACUUAUUUAAAGAUUGUCCUUUCUCUUUGGCCAUUUGGAAUUGUCUUCAAAUUGGAAAUAAUCCUAGCCCUGAUAUGGUGGACUUUAAUGAGUGGCUGUUAAGGAAUCUACAAUCUAAUGGAAAGUGACUCUAGUGUGGAUGUGGCUCUUCUUUCUAGCUCUACUAUUUCCACACACCCCCUGUUUAGCCUUAUUAGGUGUUGCAAGUUAAAGGUGCAAGCUGGUUGGAGAUGUUCUGUUAUGCACAUCUUCAGAGAGAAGAAUGUGGCAGCUCACAUCUUGGCUUCUAAGAGUUCUGAGUUUGGCACUGGGGUGCAGUAUUUUACUGAGGUGCCUACAUUUCUUGCGACUUGUUUGCCUGAGGAUGCUAUUGGGGUGUCCAGGUCUAAUGUUGUUUGUGCUUAUAUUGGGUGUCCAGGUCCCGUGUUGUUUGUGCUUAGUCUGUUUGUUCUUGGCCCUUAGCCCCUCUUGUUGCCAAAAAAAAAAAAACAGUCAAAAACACAACCCAUCCCCACUUCCAGCGAUAUCUGUGGUGGUGUUGGGUGGGGAUGGUUGAUAUCGUUGCCAUUGUCUCCUCUCAGUCCCACCCCAACUUGACUACCUCCUCCCACGCCCCCACCAACCGAGCGAGUACAACCUAACACUCUCUCUCUCUCUCUCUCUCUCUCUCACAGAGGAGGCUUUUGCCUCUAUCAAAGGUGACGGUAAAUUCGACAAGGGAGGGCUUUUAGACCCACCCCUUCUCUCUUGUUUGUAGGGGUGGACAUGGUCUAGUUUGGCCCGAUUUGCACCUAAAAAAGAAAUAUAAAUCAAUAUUAUUCAUUUGAUGUGGUAUGGUCUAGCUAUUGACUAAAAUGACUAGGAGAACCGGACCAAUCUGAACUUGCCGGUCUUGGUUCUAUGGAAUUGCAAUUAAUAUCGUAUCCGAUUAUAUUUAGAUUUUUCCGCAUUAAUUUAUAAAAAAUUUAUAAAAGUAUUCGGAUAUUAUUUAUUUAUUUAUUUAGAGGAACUAGUAAAUUUUCCUUAAAUUGUCAAAGGUUACAGGCUUGAGCGAACAAACAUGGCCUCAUAAAAACCUUGCCCAGGAAAAGUAUUUGGAUACGCUUUCAUUGCUGUAUACGGUUUAAUACCGGUCUUGCGUAGGAAUUGACAUAUCUUGCAAUACGAUGCCUUCCAAUUAGGUUAUGAACUCGAGCAAACAAACGUGUUCUUAUUGAUACCGUAUCCACUGCAAUUAAUACCGUAUCAAUUAUUGAGUUUUAUCCACAUCAGUUUAUAAAGUUUAUAGAAGUAUUUGGAUACGCUUUCAUCCUAUUCAAAAGUUGUACAUAUUAAAAAGAGUAAAUUGUCGUAGACCUCCCCAAAUUAGGACCCCAAUCGAACUUAACUUUAUGAACUAAAAAAUAAGCUAAUUUAACACCCAAAUUAAUUAAAAUUGUCAAUUUAAUACCUGCCGUUAGAUUUUAUCACUUUUCAUCUAAAAUUCCUUCGUACGUGGCAUGUGAGACACAUGUGCAAUAUAAUUGGAGAACAAUAUAGUUCUUCAAACCUGUUUUCCUACCACUAUUCAGCUUCCCUAAUAGUUGAGGCCAAAUUAAAAAUAGAGGAGCCCUAAUUUCACAAAUUCCACCAUUACAGACAAUUGUUAUGACAUAUACCCACCCACAGCAUACAGUUGAGAAGAAGGAGAAGAAGAUGAAGUGGUUAGAAAAUGCAAAGGAACAUGCCUAGAGCAAAUGGUUCAGCCGAGUCCAAGUUCAAAUACCUGGAGCAAGAGGUUCUCUGUGUGUUCUAGAGAUAAGGAGCCUUCAGUCGGAUCUGACAUCAACUAUCCUCAUCAUUUGUUACCAAGUUAAUCGAGCCUAAACGUCUUGGUGCAAAACUUGCCUUUGUGGAGCAUUUGCCUUUUCACAACCAUUGACAGGGGGUAUAUUGACCCAGUUGUAAAGUGAGGAGGUAUUUAAGCCCCUAUUCUAAUUAAGAGUCUCUCUAUUGAUCUACACUUUCUUCAUUUAGACCCGUUUGGUUCAUGAGAAAUCAAUUGCUUUAAAUGUUUGGUAAGCUUAGGCAUAUAAGACAGAAAUAUCAUGCGGUGUUACUGCCAAAUUCACAAGGGAAGUUUUCAGUGAUGAAAAUUGGGAUCAAACAGGUCAACAAUGGUAUAAGAGGGAUCUAAAUCCUAUUGGCAUUGAUGAAAAUUGUGUUGUGUAUUCAUUUAUCUUGGACAAAGGAGAGAACAUGUAGCACAAAAGCAAAGUAGAACACAUCAAUUUAUGUAUAGAGAACAUUAAUCAGUACUUUCUACUUCUUGGAUCAAGGAAGAGGUGCCAAGGACGAUGUAGCACAACCAAGAGCCUUUGUCACGCCAGUAAUUGCGGGCUUGACAUUAGAACACACAGAGGUAAGAGGGCCUUUGUCUCCACCGUAGGUGAGAUCAAUGUCAGUCAACUCCACAUUCUCACACGGUUUGCCCGUGGUACAUACAAGCUUGACUGCAAGUGGAGUGAAAGAUGAGCCCUUAAUGUUCUUGAAGCUGACAUUGUUGAUCUUAACUUUUGACGGAGGCUUUUGUUCACACUUAGUAUAUGGGCAGUACAAUUGGUCUAUGAGGAUAGGGUUACUGACAUUAACCAUGAUAAUAUCCUCAUAGUGUAUACCCGAGGCAGAGCUAGGCGAAGGAGAAUCUGGAAAUGUUUUGAUUCUCACACCGUUCUCCGUAUUAGUCAGGGUGCAGUUCUUAACUAUGAUCCCGGUCACAUCCUUUUCUUCCUUAUAUUUUCCAAGGCUUCCAAUGCUUAUUCCAUGGCCUGGCCCACAAGUAACACCAGUCACUGUGAUUUUGUGGGAGUCAUCACCAAUAGAAAUACAGUCAUCCCCAGUUCCAAUCUUUGAAUGAGUAAUGUUGAUACCAGUCGAAGCCCCGAUAUGGAUUCCAUCUGUGUUUCUGCUCUCGUCAGGUGCUGUGAUGGUAAGCUGUUGAAAUGUAGUAUGGUUGCACCGGAAAACAUGGAUGUGGAAAAAUUUGCUGUUAAGUGAAGUUAUGUCCUGAACUUUGGAAUUUGUGAGGAAUUCAAACCGCAGAUUAACGGGAGGAGGUUUGCAAUUUUUGUUUUUGUGGCAGUCAUUUUGAUUCCAAGAAAGUGCUCCUUGGCCAUCAAAAGUCCCACCACCUGAUAAGGUGAGCAUGUCAAUGUACUGAAAACCAACCCAAGUAUCCAGUCUUGUGAGUUGGCCAGCGUCUGCUGGAGCCUGCAAUGUGCCUUGAACUUGCAUCUCAAUAGGAGCCUUACAGGGGCCUCUGAAAGUUGCUUCUUUUAACUUGUAUGUCCCGCUCGGAAUGACAACUUUACUCGCGGAUGGCGAUGCACAUGCAUCACUCCAAGCCUUGGCCAAGGCCGUACUGACAUCAGAGCCAGGCUUUGCACCGUAUGUUGCACUUGUCACGUCAAACACACUAGCAUGAGCCUUAGGUGUAGAUGCUAACAAUAAGCACAAAAGCAUUGCCAAGAAACUUAAUUUCACAGCCAUCUUGAUUUUCCUUCCAAUUUGUUAUUUUAUUCUCUGUUUUUUUUUUUUUUUUCCCUUUGGAAGGAUGAUGAAACUCCAUUUUGAGUUGAGGCCAAUUUAUAGUCCGAUUGGGAAGGCUCAACACCAUCAAACUAUCCAACCAAUCACUAACUAUUUUUAUACACAGUUGCAUUCUAGUUUAGCUUUAUGUCCUAUAAUUAGUAAGCCGUUUAGCCUUGAGAAUAUUCAUCACCAAAUCUCUAUCUAGAACGUGCUAAGCUGUUUGUAGUACUGUUGUCCUCCUCCACACCCCGCAAUAUAUGUAUAUUCCAAAAAAGGAGGACCAAAACCAUGCAUACACACCUGGAUAGAGUUAACAAGAUGAACAGGAAAAGACCAUGCCUACACUAUUGGCGCAUCUACGUAUAUACUUUUUCUAAUAUCAUCCAACUAGAAAGUGCCUCACCUUAACAACUUUAAUUCAUCUACUUAGCUUAAAUAAUCCAUUUUGCACCAUUGUGGUUGUUAGUUCAUCUAUUUUUUACCAUACUUUUAAUUUUUCUUAUAAUCCAUAGGUUUUGCUUGCUAUCUACCGGUGACAUUGAUCUCACCUACAAUGGAAACAAAGGCCCUCUUACCUCUCAAUGUUAAUGUCAAGCCCACCAUUAUUUGUGUGACAAAAGCCCUUGCCUGUGCUACCUAUGCUGGGUUAAAGAAAUGGAAAGUACUAAAGAUAAAUUGUUGUGUUCUUUGGUUUUUUUGAUUUUGUGGUGCUUGUACAGGUCUUUUUUCUUCGCUCAGAUACCUUCACAUGUUUUGAGCUAUAAAAUUCUAAUAUAUUUAAUAUUUGCAAAUAAAUUGCUAGUGUUAAAACAUACAUUCACUAAUUCAUCAUUGUCUAGAUAAUGCUUCAGUUUCUACUCUAUAUACUUUUCUUGGCCUGCCAGCUUGAUUUUGAUCCUUCCACUAUAUUAAUUGAAGAUUAUCAGACAAACUGAAUGUGUGUGUGUGUAUAUAUAUGUAUAUAUAUAUAUACAUUUAUUCUCUCAUCCGGACGGUCUGGACGUUAUUAUCGUGUGGACGCCAUUGUAAACAAGGAGUACACUUUUAAAAUAAAUUAAUAUUUAAAGAGUGGCUAUACUUGUUAUUUAUGCGAAUAUUCUAUACUAUUUAAAUAUUUGAAUGGAUGUCAAGCAUAUAGCCGACCAGCUAUACUGCAUAAAAGUGUGUUCUUUUUUGUAAUCAAGUAAUAUCUUACCAUUUCAAAAUUAAUUUAAUUUUUAUGUAUUUAGUGAAUAAUUAUUAUUUAAAUAUUUUACUAAUUUCAAUAUUUACUUCAUAAAUUGUAAUUAAUGAUUUUAAAUUAUUUUGUGGACUUUAAUUUUCUACAAAAUUAGUUUAUUUUGUUUAAUAUGUUCAAAUAUUUUAAUAGUAUAGCCGUGCGACUGUACUAUUAAAAUAUAUUAAUAUUUAAAGCGUAUAGCCAUGCGGCUAUACCUGUUAAAUAUAUUUUAGUUUUAAGAGUAUAGCCGCAUGACGAUACUUUUAAAAUAUUUAGACAUAUUGAAUAUUCGAACAGAUUAAACUAAAUAAACUAAUUUUGUACAAAAUAAAAUAAAAAAACAAAGUCCACAAAAUAAUUUAAAAUAAUUAAUUACAAUUUAUUAAGUAAUUUUUGAAAUUACUAAAAAAUUUAAAUACUAAUUGUUCACUAAAUUUAUAAUAAUUAAAGCAAUUAAAAAAGGCUAAGAUAUAACUUUUUAUCUUUCAAUGGAUCCAUCUGCUUUGAGUUUCACAGUAUAGAUCAACCCGCAUCCCACAGUAUUCUUUCCAUAAGGUAAAGGCACGAGCUCUCAUGUGGCAAUCUUCUGGAGAGCUCGCAUGUAACACCCCGUCCCAAAAAUACUGUUCAAUUGAUUAUUUAAUUGUGGAUUUACAAUUUUGCCCUUGGGGGUAGGGUUACUUUAGUCACUUUUCAAUCUGGACGGUUUUUGAGGAUUUUAGUAACACCAUUUUGUAGAGCUCGCUCUCACGAAUUCGUAGACACGUAGUGGGCUCAAAUCGGAGUUAUAACGAAGAAGUUGUGGCCAACGGAAGUGCAGUGGCAAAAACGUAAAAUUUUCAUAGUUGGGUUUUAAAAUACCCAAUCAGCCUCUCUCUCUCUCUCUCUCUCUCUCUAUCUCUCUCUCUCUACGCACACGACUUUCUCUCUUUACAAGAGCGGCAGCAAAUUUUCGACCGUGAUUUUGUCGUCGUCCAGUGUCCGAUUCGAGCAAAAUUGGUUACAAAAGUUUCGUAACGAUGUCCUCUAUCUUACCACAUUUUCCCAGCUCAAAAACCCAAGGAAAUUAAACUGAACUACUGGAAGUUCGAGUGAUUUUUGAAGUUUCCGAGGCUGUUUUCAGCGAUCUCGGUGGCGGUUUUCGUCAAUCCAGAUAUGAAUCUUCAUCCCAUCCACGUGCUCUAGUUGUUUAUGUUGGUAUCUUGGAUAAAUUUUGAGGUUUUACAUGUCGUUUAAAAUACCCAUUUUAGCCAACGGUUUUGGCUUCAAUUCGGCUAGUUCCGACUAGUUUUUGGCCGUGGUCCAAGAACAAAACUUGAUCCCCUAGUAAGUCUGAAUCUGUUGGCAUAGGUAUUCACUGGUGGUUUGGAGAUUUUUCGUCGCUGAAAAAUCUUUUAAGACACCCACGCACUGCCGGCGGUGGGUGGCGGCCCAUGGAGUUCUAAAUUGUUACCCUUGUUGUCCUGAGCACGACGGUAUGCUUGGAUUUCGAUUUGAUUAUCGUUUGACUGUCGAAUGGGUAUUGCACCUGUUAUGCGAUAUUUGGGUUCAAUAGAUUUGGACCGUUCAAUCGGUCCCAUUUUCUAAUGCGUUGUUCCUCGUACUUCUAAGAUUUGUGUUGGAACUGGUGGAUCGAGAAUGGGAGUCCCGGAUACUCCUAAUCAAUGAUUCUAGAGCUUAGUAAACCGGUUACCGUCCGAUCGUGUGAUCGAGACCAAACUCUGAAAACUUGUUAAGUAGACCUUGUUGGACUUAUAGUAAAGUUUGGAUCGAAAAUAGGAGGUUGUGGACCCCUACAGCCCAAUUGGUCAAAUUCAGCGAUCGGGGUCGAAUCGACCGUUAGAUCGUGACGGGACUUCUAGAAUGGGCUGAACUUUUGGUUAUGGACCAAUCAGAAUUGUCAUAUAGCAAUUGGGGUUGUGGGCCCUUCGAGCCCAGUUGACUUAGAUUGUGGGCUUUGUUGGCUCGGUCGAGGCCUUUUAGUAGUUUUAAUUGUAAUUCGAGGUUUGUUUUAAAAUGGUAUUGUGUUUUGACCGUUUCAUUAAAUUUUUAUGAAUUAUUAUGUUAUCGCUUUUACUUUCCAUGAAUAAGGAAUGGCUUGGAUAACCGGAUUUUGGCAUGAAUAAGGAAUUAAUUAAAUGCCUGAUUGUAUGUCUAUAUUUAAAUAUAUGCUCGGUGGCUUGAAAUCGAUGAAUGAUGGAUACUAGUUUUCUCAAUAGUAUGUUGUACAUAUUUGAAUGUAGUUUGAGAACAGUUUUGAAAGAUUAUGCAUGGUCAAGUUCAAGUUAAGGAAUGUUGGGAUUGAUCACAUUUUAAAAAAGGAUUUUUGGUUAUCUAUUUAAAAAUUGAUUUUUGGAAAAUUGAGAAAGAAUUUGGAAACUGGAUUAGGGGAAAAAGAGGAAUUUUAUGACAAGUUUGGAAAAUGGUUUUCAAAACCCACCACCAGAGUACCGCCCCCCAAGUUGCCUUCGGAACAGUCUAGUCAUUUAUGACAAUGCCCACGAGUCUCGGGAACCCCUGAACCAUGUGGUGUGAGGAUUUGCGUUCUCGGGUUGAUUAUAUCUUCCUGAGUCCUGCGAGGGGAUUUGACAGAAAUGGGUUUCGGGCUGAUCACCCGAUUCUGCGAGGAUAUGCGUUCUCGGGCAGACCACGUAUUCCCCGAGUUACAUGGGAAAGUAGUGGGGAAAGUGAAGCCCUCCUACCCCCUUGGGUUUUGUUUUCCCUCAUCACUGGAAAGUUUGGGAAAAUGAACCAACAUUAAAUGCACAUUUUUCAUGAUCAUUUUGUCCCCCUUAAAAAUUUAGAAUUACAAUAUAUCAUUAAAUGCGUUCUUUUUUUAUUUGAGUUAAUACGGGUAUAAUUGGAAAAUUAUACAAAUUUUGUUUUCCAUUCCUACUCAAAACGAACAUGGGAAAUGAAAUAAAGUGAUAUCUCCUGGUUACUUUCAUUUCCCAUCUCUUGAGAAAUGACAUGGGAAGUGAUUUCCCCUCAAAUCCAUUCUGUGAACCAAAUGGAGCCUUAAGGUAAGAGCUUUUCCCCCCAUAACAAGAGUUUUCUUUAAGGUUUUCCAUCCCUGGUUUGUCUGGGGUUUUCUUUAUUUUCUUACCAAACUGGUGAUAUACCGGGGUUUUCCUUCUAUAUCCAAGUAGUUGGAAUGGAAGAGGUGAUAAAUUCAUUGGAGAAAGUGCUCAUCCUAACUGAAGACGAGAAUGAUUUGAUUCAGUAGGACAAAAUGAUGUCGAUGACGUGGGGGAGCGACUCAAGACGAGCCUGGUUGGAAAUGUCUUUACAACUAAUGUUUUCAACCGGGAGACAUUCAAGCAAACGAUGUUGAUGAUUUAGAACACAGCUCGUGAGGUGGGGGUGAAAGAUUUAGGUGAAAAUAUCUUUUUGUUCAUCUUUGUGACGGAAGGGGAUUGACUGAAGGUGUUGUGCAGUGGGCCUUGGAAUUUUGAAAAGCUCUAAUAUAACUUGAGAUUCCUGGUGGUAGUAUUGCUCCAUAAAAAAUGCAUCUAAAGUAUGCAGAAUUCUGAAUUGAAGUCCAUAACGUACCACUGAGUUGUGAGACGACAAAUAUGGGGAGACAAAUUGGGAAUAUCUUGGACAGUGUUUGGGUAGAUUUAUGUGGAUGCGUGUUUGUUUGGAUGUCUCCAAGUCAUUACGAUGCGUGUUUGUUUGGAUGUCUCCAAGUCGUUACGGUGAGGAAAAAGGUGAUUCUACCUUCUGGAAACAUAGAGUUAGUAGAUUUCCGAUACGAACAAUUGCCAGAAUUUUGUUUUGUGUGCGACAGAGUCGGUCAUGUGUUCAAGGUGUGUUCUUUUGUCCACCAGGCAGCCAAGCAAGCCAGCAAAAAGCCUAAUGGGACAUGGUUAGAGGCCACCAAUGAUUUUAUCACUACAAGGGCAAGUAGUCCUAAGCGAUCCAACUGUGGUGGUAUGAGUAGACAUGUAUACGAAUAUCUGUUUAUGUGUGUGCACUGGGACCUAGGAAUUUUUUAGCGAAGAUGCAAUUUUGAAAGGCCAAAAACUCUUUGUGGAUUGAACAUCUAAGGUUUUUUUUACCUAAAUUGACCUUAGGUCCCUUCAUGCAUUCAUAUAAUACAUUAAAAAUUAUUUUAUAUAAAAAUAUUGAAUAAGUAUGAAAAAUGGUUUUUUGGAAUAAUCAUUUUCACAAGAUAAUUUUGGCGGCUUUAAUUCCUUACACAUCAAAUAAGAAAACUUAAUUUUAUGGAAUUUUAUGUAUGAGAGUAUAUAUUGACUUAAUGAGCCAUCAUUUUUAUCAUAAAUCGUAUNNNNNNNNNNNNNNNNNNNNNNNNNNNNNNNNNNNNNNNNNNNNNNNNNNNNNNNNNNNNNNNNNNNNNNNNNNNNNNNNNNNNNNNNNNNNNNNNNNNNNNNNNNNNNNNNNNNNNNNNNNNNNNNNNNNNNNNNNNNNNNNNNNNNNNNNNNNNNNNNNNNNNNNNNNNNNNNNNNNNNNNNNNNNNNNNNNNNNNNNNNNNNNNNNNNNNNNNNNNNNNNNNNNNNNNNNNNNNNNNNNNNNNNNNNNNNNNNNNNNNNNNNNNNNNNNNNNNNNNNNNNNNNNNNNNNNNNNNNNNNNNNNNNNNNNNNNNNNNNNNNNNNNNNNNNNNNNNNNNNNNNNNNNNNNNNNNNNNNNNNNNNNNNNNNNNNNNNNNNNNNNNNNNNNNNNNNNNNNNNNNNNNNNNNNNNNNNNNNNNNNNNNNNNNNNNNNNNNNNNNNNNNNNNNNNNNNNNNNNNNNNNNNNNNNNNNNNNNNNNNNNNNNNNNNNNNNNNNNNNNNNNNNNNNNNNNNNNNNNNNNNNNNNNNNNNNNNNNNNNNNNNNNNNNNNNNNNNNNNNNNNNNNNNNNNUCCCCCAUUUUCAAAGACAAAGGGUUUUCCCUAUUGUCUUCGUUUGUUAUGAUAUUCAUCCAACCCAUUAGUGCGCCUGCGGCUCAGCGUCAGAUCUUCACCUAUAUUUCGGCGUCAGAUCUCCACCACCAUCUUUUUCGCAAUUUCUUUAUGUUUGGAAUAAGUUGCAGAGACUCUUUGGGUUCUCUGUGUAGUUUUCACCUCUCCUUUUGUGAGAGUUUUUCAUCUCUCAUUUGUUAGAGAUUUUCAUCUCUCCUUGGUGAGAGUUUUAUUUGUAUUGUUAUGGCUUGGUUUUUUCAAGCUUUAUCUCUUUUUUAUUAUUCUAAUUUGCAAUCUUAGUUGGGAUGCCUAUGCCAGAGUUUCUUCGAUCUUGCCUGACCAUUGGUGGAGACAUACCUGAUUUUCUUAAUUUGCUCUGUUAUUGUAAUGGCCCUUUUGUGACUAGUUUGUAUUAGCCAUUUGUGACUAGUGGCGUUUUUGGCUGAAUUAUGAAUGCAAUCAUAGAGUUUCUCAAAAAAAAAAAAAAAGAUGUCAUCCUUCUUGGUGGACCAAUUAAUAAGUCCAAGUAACACUUUUUCAUGAUUCUUUUGAACAAAAAUCUUCUAAGAUUACUGCAAUCAAAUCAGAAGUCGAUACAUUUAUUUUCUUUGGCGAGAGAAUCCACAAUACGACUCUCAUGCUUGCAUAUCAUCUAUUUAAAAAUAUAAAAAUCCAAAUUGUUAUAACAAACUGCGUACUUAUACGAUGAAGACAAAUAUUAAGAGUGCUGCUAUUUCCACUCACCUGCCCUAUUUUCCCACAUACCUUAUCUUCCCACCCACCAUAUAAAUUUUAAAAAACACAAUCCUAUUUUUCCACCCACCCAAUAUUCCUAAAAUACCCUUUUAAUUAUUACCUCAUUUCCUCUCUCCUUUAUUCUCUCUGCUCAUGUCUUCUCUCUCUCUGACGCCCACACAUCUCUCUCUCAUUUUUGUUGUAUCUUAUUUUCUACGAAAUUUGAAAUUUGAAAGCAAACAAUAGUAAGUAAUACAGUAGUAAAACGAUAAAAGAAGCAACUUCAUAUCACGAAAUUUGAUGACAAUGGCUAGUCAACAUGCAAAAAAUGACCAGCCCUUGAAACCAAAACCUGGCGCAGGCUCCCCAAUUUCUAAACGUACCCAACAACCUCUUUACCCACCUUCCAAACUUUCUGGUCUGCUGACAGAAACUUGUUCAUCCUCAGGUUUUCAUAUUUUUAAUUUGUUUAAGAAAAAAAAAUUAGAGUCCAAGAAAUACUGAUCUCCCAAUGCUUUAAGUAAUUGUGAAGAUCUUAGAAAUUCUGUUCAAAAAGGAUUUCCUUACCCUUUCGCCAAAAUCGUUCUCUUCAACAUCCAUUCUCCUAUUGUUUUCUUCUUCAUAAACAAUUUGAUUGAAUGAAUCGAAAAGAGAAGAAAAUUAUUUGAGAAUUGAGUUCUGAGCAUUGAAAAGUCAUAAGAGGAAUCAUGAGCUAGGAGUCAUAGCUUUCUUUUGUUUUUUUCUCUUUCUGUCAAACGAUAGGGUUACGUAAGAACAUAGUCUGAGUUUUUUUUUUUUCCUCUUUCUUUUUCUUGAAGUCCUUUUAAGUCAUUUUAUAUAAUGAGGUUAAAUUUGUCUUUAAAAGUUUAAAGAUAAGGUGGGUGGAAACAUAAGACAGGUGGGUGGAAAUAGCAGCACUCAAUAUUAAUAUGGGAUAACUUGGCUAUCAUAGAAGGUAAUGAAAUAGAGAAUUAAUAUUUCCAAAAGGAUAGAAAGAAUAAUUCUUUUAGGAAAACCAAAGGUUACACACAAAAGAGGUAAUUCCAAAACCCUUGCUUGAAAACCCUAAAGGCACACAUGCCUCCUCUCUCUGUGUGGCUCUCACACCACCCCCAUUUUCUCCCUAAGAAAAUACUCCUAUUCCUUUUUAAAAUACCCACAUCCCCUUGAGACUAUUUUUCAACUUGGGCAUCGGAGGGCCCAAGACCACCACCACACUGGUGUUUAUCCGAUUUAUUAUUCUUGUUUUGCAGGAAAUCUUGGAAGAACAUUUAAAGUGGAGUGAAGAUCUUCCAUAAAUCUACUUGGGAGGAAAUUUGCUACCACAAUAAUUUCUACUAACAUGAGAAGAACUUCCCAAGUGUAAAAAUAAAAGUAAUUGUAUAGUAAAGGCAUCAUAAAUUAGAAAACUAACAAGAAAAAGAAUAGAAAACUACCACUGUAGACCAUUCCUUUUAAGAAUUCAUCAUAAAUAGGUUAAGAAUUCUAUGCCUGGUAUAAUAACAAUUUGCUAUUAAAAAAGAAUAGGUUAGUUAGGCCAUUAAUACAUAUGUUAAAUGAUGACGUGGUAAACAUGAGUUUCAAUUUUUUUGCUGAUGUGUAAUAAAAUAUUCAUAAAAAAUUAUUUAUUUUUGAAAUAAUUUAAAAAAAAGUAAAAAAAAAAUUAAGUAAAAUAAUAACAUGACAUUAAAUUGAAAAAAGUCAAAAUUAAGCGAUGAUGAUGUUGUAAUUCAGCAAGGGGCAAUUCCCUCAAUACAUUUCUCAGGCAAAGUAAAGGGCUCUAAUUAUUAAGCUCAUGGGUCAUCCUCUGGCUUACACAUUUCUCAGAUCUCGUCUUCUCCAGAGAUGGGCACUUAAGGGUCCUAUGAGCUUAAUAGAUCUAGAGAAUAACUACUUCAUUGUGAAGUUCCUUUAUGAGGAAGAUAUGAGAUACGUGUUCACUGGUGGUCCUUGGCAAAUUGCUGGCCAAUACAUUGUGACACAGAAAUGGAAGCCUGGGUUUAAUGCGAAGGAAGAGAAGAUCACCCAUAUGACUGCUUGGGUUUGAAUUAAUGGGCUGAACGUUGAAUAUUUUCGUGUUGAUGUUAUGGAAAAAAUUGGAAAUCUUGUUGGUGCUACGGUCAAGGUGGAUGCUCAUACUCUCAGUCAAGAUCGUGGUAAGUUUGCUCGAAUUUGUGUCGAAUUUGAUUUGGCUAAGCCUUUUACCCCAUUCAUUAAGAUUGAAGGCCGUACAUAUGGGGUUGUGUAUGAGGGAAUUAAUUUGGUUUGCUUUGAAUGUGGAUGUUUUGGGCAUGGGAGAGAUUCUUGCCCUAUUAUUUUGCAAGCCAAACAGCAGGUUCCAGAGUCAGAUAAUGCUGAUUGUAUGGAGGAUAUUUCUACUGUCCAGGUUAAUGUGAAUUUAGGUGCUGUUACAAAGGAGGCUGAGGUUCCAGCAAAGAUGCACGGGGAGUGGAUGUUGUUGAAGCCAAGGAAUUUUAGGAAGAAUAGCACAAAUGAUAUAGGGAAGGGUGCUGAGCUUAGCAAGAGGAAUACAAAGGAUACUGGUACGAAAGCUAUUAGUCCUGUCUUUGGUUCUCGUUUCAGUGUGUUGAUUGAGGAGGUUGGCAGAGAAGAGGAUAUGAAGGGAUCUACUCCUGUUAAGACUAGUAAUUCUAGUUCUAAAAAACAGGGUUCUUUUGCCAAUACUUAUUCUACUAAGGGAAAAAGUGCUGGGGUGAAAUUUGCUUCCUCUCGUGACUCUGGCACAUGGGUGUUUAAAAAACCUCUCAAGGACAUUUCCAAUUCCGUGGUAGGUAAUUCUAGUGGUGGUGGUGUUAAAAGUGGUUCUGUUUUAAGGAGGCCUUGGAAGAAAGAGCUGGGCCUAAAUCUUUCUCUUGUCAUGAUAUUGAACCUGUGAGGCUGCAAGUUAAGGGCUCUGAUGUUUAAGAUGAUGUUCGGGGGAACUUUUCUUCUAAUUUAGGUGGCUCUCUUUUUCCAAAGUUGCCUUUGGGUAAGGGAGGUUUAUUUGUUGGUCAUGAACCUCCUGAUAUCAGUGAGAUGGGAAUUAAUGAGGUUCAGCCUUCCGAUGCGAGUGAUAUGGAUCAUCAGGGUAAUUUCUCUGAACAUUGUGAGUCUGAUACUGGACUAGAAGCUGAUAGCUCUUUUGAGCAUGAUGGUUUUGAAGCCGUUGAGGCUGAGCAUGUGCAGAUUUAGGUUUGUACCUAAUAUUAUCCCUCAUUAUUAUCAUUUUAUGAUGAAUAUUAUUGCUUGGAAUGUUAGAGGUGCUGGUAAAGAUAGGUGUGCUAGUACUAUUAAGGACCUAAAAAAGGCUUAUGCCAUUGAUGUGUUUGCUAUUCUUGAGCCUCGAAUAAGUGGCUCUAGGGCUCUCAAUGUUGCCCACGAGAAAUUGAGCAAAAAGCUGCUGAAUUGGCCUAUUUCUUGCGUGUACCAAUUGAAGUAUUUUGAAAAAAGGAACUGAAGAAUGAAUACUUUGCAAGAGAGAAAAAACUCAAGAAUCCUCGUUUUUUUAUAUAACAUAACUUAACUGAAGUUUCUUCAGAACGCUUAUUCAAGCCAAAGCAAACGUUACGAAAUAAUUCUAAAACAAAAUAGUUUGUGUCCACAAUUUUUUUUUAUGCUUAUGUAAACCCACUUAACUCAAUUCAGUAACAAAUCUAAAUACUAGAUUCAUCAUAUAUUAAAACAAAACAUUUCAUAAUAAAUCAUAACUAUUUGGUCAAAUACCUAGCGACAAACUCCUAUGUUCCUUUCAUUACAGUAUUUCUGAACAAGUUCCUGGAUAACAAGCCCAAGGGUUUUCUUGUUGAUGAUAGUGACGAUAUUGAUGAUAGCGACGAUAUUGAUGAUAGUGACGACCGUGACUUUGAUACGGAGCUAGAGCUUCUAACUGUGAUGAAUGCGCUAACUAUGGGUAUGAUGCCGGAAAUAGACCGAUUUUAUAUCACCCUUCAAUUCGAAUUAGCAAAAGCAAUGUCUCCUUGCAUAAUAUGGAUUCCAAA
rnacentral:lncRNA from 1 species